AUAUUAUCCAAACAAAAUACAAGUAACCCAAGCACUCCAUCAAUCCAAGCUUCCGUGAAGUGAAUGUAAUCUGCAAAAAGGGAAAUAAGAAAGUUAGAAGAACAAGACUAGAUGAAGAAGAGAAGUAUAGGUCAUUUUCGAGNNNNNNNNNNNNNNNNNNNNNNNNNNNNNNNNNNNNNNNNNNNNNNNNNNNNNNNNNNNNNNNNNNNNNNNNNNNNNNNNNNNNNNNNNNNNNNNNNNNNCUGUGUGGGACUGAAGCCUUUUACCUUUGAGGACUGUGCAUCCUCCACACAGUUAGGCGUCAUGGUCUAGAGCAAUACAGCAGUCAAUUGUGGAUCGCCGGGCGACCAAGUUUGUGAGGGUUUGGAAGUCUGCCAUGAAGACUUACCACGAGUGUUGGGUGAGGACUGUGUGUCCUUAGCUUAAGGAGAUACGAUAGGGAUUGUGUGUCCCGGGACUAUGUGUCCUUUGUUUUCAAUACCAAGCACCUCCGAACCAGACGUACAACUAUCACAGCAGUUGGAACUGGGUCAUCAACAACUGUCUUCACUGUGAUCCGGGUUCUAUUUCUUCAACUCUUUCAAUUCCUCAAUAUUGUAUGUUGAAUAUUUUCGUUGUCUCUGUUUGAAGAAUUUGUUGAAAACUUUCUCUGAAUUUCCUCAACCUCAAAUUCUUCACACUAGUUAAUCCUCACCUGCUUACUGUGUGCAUGCGUACUGUGCAAACAAUUUUUCAUAAUCCUCAUUGAGGAAACUGUUGUAGUAUACUUUGCACCCCUGAUCCUUUGUUGUUUCCGCUGCAAGUUAGUCAUCAGUGGGGAAUUUCCUCAAAAUGAAUUUCCUUAGUGAUGAAAUUAUAAAACUCUCCUAUUCCCGCCCCCCCCCCCUNNNNNNNNNNNNNNNNNNNNNNNNNNNNNNNNNNNNNNNNNNNNNNNNNNNNNNNNNNNNNNNNNNNNNNNNNNNNNNNNNNNNNNNNNNNNNNNNNNNNAGAUCUGAACCUAUUAUGUUGUCGCCAAUAUAUGUGUGUUCUUGAUCCUAUCUUGCAAGUUGUAGUCACCUACUAUGUGUUAUGACCCGGCAACCCCGGAGUGACAAUAGCUGGAACCACUCCCGGAGAUGACCAUGGUAUGAGGAGUUCAUGUAUUCACCAAGUGUUAAUGCGUUGGUCCGGUUCUUUAUUAAAAGGAGAACCUUAAUAUCCCGUAGUUUCCAUUAGGACCCCGUUGCCACGGGAGGGAUGGACAAUAGAUGUCAUGCAAGUUCUUUUCCCUAAGCACGUAUGACUACAUACGGAAUACAUGCCUACAUUAGCUUGACGAACUGGAGCUAGUUACUUAUCUCUCCGUGUUAUAACGGUUGCAUGAUGAAUAACAUCCGGCAUAAUCAUCCAUCACCGAUCCAAUGCCUAUGAGUCCUUUCCUACUGGUCAUUGCUACGUUACUUUGCCGCUACUGUUGUCACUGCUCCUACUGUUACUUUGCUGCUACUGUUGUCACUUUGCUGCUACUGGUUACUGUNNNNNNNNNNNNNNNNNNNNNNNNNNNNNNNNNNNNNNNNNNNNNNNNNNNNNNNNNNNNNNNNNNNNNNNNNNNNNNNNNNNNNNNNNNNNNNNNNNNNUUUGGUCUCAAUGUUAUGUAUAUGCGUAUCUCUAUCAAGAUUCAAUAUGAACAAUCCUCUCACAUUCGGUGCAUGACCAUAAAAGAUGUUACUCAUAGAAAUAGAACAACCAUUAUUCUCAGACUUAAAAGAGUAACCGUCUCGCAAUAAACAAGAUCCAGAUAUAAUGUUCAUGCUCAACGCAGGCACUAAAUAACAAUGAUUUAAGUUCAUCACUAAUCCCGAUGGUAGUUGAAGUGAUACUGUGCCGACGGCGAUUGCAUCAACCUUGGAACCGUUUCCUACACGCAUCGUCACUUCGUCUUUCGCCAGCCUUCGUCUAUUCGGCAGUUCCUGCUUCGAGUUGCAAAUGUGAGCAACAGAACCGGUAUCGAAUACCCAGGCACUACUACGAGAGCUGGUUAAGUACACAUCAAUAACAUGUAUAUCAAAUAUACCUGAUUUUUCUUUGCCCGCCUUCUUAUCUGCCAGAUACUUGGGGCAAUUGCGCUUCCAGUGACCCAUACCCUUGCAAUAGAAGCACUCUGUUUCAGGCUUAGGUCCAGCCUUGGGUUUCUUCGGCGGAUUGGCAACGGGCUUGCCGCUCUUCUUCGAAUUGCCCUUCUUGCCUUUGCCUUUUCUCUUGAAACUAGUGGUCUUGCUCACCAUCAACACUUGAUGCUCUUUACGGAGUUCAGACUCUGCGACUUUCAACAUCGCAAACAACUCGCCGGGAGACUUGUUCAUCCCUUGCAUGUUGUAGUUCAACACAAAGCCUUUAUAGGUUGGCGGCAGUGAUUGAAGGAUUCUGUCAGUGAUAGCUUCUUGCGGGAGUUCAAUCCCCAGUUCAGCUAGACGGUUUGAGUACCCAGACAUUUUGAGCACAUGUUCANNNNNNNNNNCUUGGCGGCAGGGAUUGAAGGAUUCUGUCAGUGAUAGCUUCUUGCGGGAGUUCAAUCCCUAGUUCAGCUAGACGGUUUGAGUACCCAGACAUUUUGAGCACAUGUUCACUGACAGACGAGUUUUCCAUCAUCUUGCAAGCAUAGAAUUUAUCGGAGGUCUCAUACCUCUCGAUCUGGGCGUUCUUCUGAAAGAUGAACUUCAACUCCUGGAACAUCUCAAAUGCUCCAUGACGCUCAAAGCGACGUUGAAGUCCCGGUUCUAAGCCAUACAAGACUGCACAUUGAACUAUUGAGUAGUCCUCCUUACGCGCUAACCAAGCGUUCUUAACAUCCUGAUCNNNNNNNNNNNNNNNNNNNNNNNNNNNNNNNNNNNNNNNNNNNNNNNNNNNNNNNNNNNNNNNNNNNNNNNNNNNNNNNNNNNNNNNNNNNNNNNNNNNNAUGGAGCAGGUGGGAUCCACCAUGGGUAUCCAGACCCCGCUGAUGGUUAUUGGCCGGAGAGGUGUCUCGGUCAUGUGUGCGUGUCUCCCGAACCCGUAGGGUCUACACACUUAAGGUUCGAUGACGCUAGGGUUAUAGGGAAUUGUUAUACGAGAUUAUUGAAAGUUGUUCGGAAUCCCGGAUGAGAUCCCGUACAUCACGAGGAGCUUCGGAAUGGUCCAGAGGUAAAGAUUGACAUAUAGGACGGAUGGUUUCGGACACCAGAAGUGUUUCGGGCAUCACGGGUAACGUACCGGGACCACCGGGACCACCGGAGGUGGCCCCGGGGGUCCACCGAAGGGGGGCAACGAGGGCUAGAUGGGCCAAGUGGGGAAGGGAGCCAGCCCCUAGGUGGGCUGGUGCGCCCCCCCCCCCACUCAGCCCGUGGCACGGGAAGAGGGGAGAGGGGGGGAACCCUAGCGCAGGUGGGCCUAAGGCCCAUCAGAGGGGUGCGCCACCCCUCCUCCCUGCCUGGCCGCCGCCCCCUCUCCCAUCUGGGGCUGCCGCACCCCUUGGGGGUGGGAACCCUAAGGGUUGUGCCCCCUCCCUCUCCCCCUAUAUAUAGUUGAGGUUUCGGGGCUGUUUUGCACACGGUUUUCUNNNNNNNNNNACUCAGCCCAUGGCGCAGGAAGAGGGGAGAGGGGGGGGGGGAACCCUAGUGCAGGUGGGCCUAAGGCCCACCAGAGGGGUGCGCCACCCCUCCUCCCUGCCCUGGCCGCCGCCCCUCUCCCAUAUGGGGCUGCCGCACCCCUUGGAGGUGGGAACCCUAAGGGUUGCGCCCCCUCCCUCUCCCCUAUAUAUAGUUGAGGUUUCGGGGCUGUUUUGCACACGGUUUUCUCUCUCUCUCGGCGCAACCCUGCCCUUCUUCCUCCUCCUCUCCGCCGGUGCUUGGCGAAGCCCUGCCGGGAGACCUCGUCUCUCCAUUGACACCACACCGUCGUGCUGCUGGAGUUCUUCCCCAACCUCUCCCUCCUCCUUGCUGNNNNNNNNNNNNNNNNNNNNNNNNNNNNNNNNNNNNNNNNNNNNNNNNNNNNNNNNNNNNNNNNNNNNNNNNNNNNNNNNNNNNNNNNNNNNNNNNNNNNUUGUUGGAAAUCAUACAUACUGAUGUGUGUGGUCCAAUGAGCGUGGAGGCACGCGGCGGAUAUCGUUAUUUUCUCACCUUCACUGACGAUUUAAGUAGAUAUGGUUAUGUCUACUUGAUGAAGCACAAGUCUGAAACAUUUGAAAAGUUCAAGCAAUUUCAGAGUGAAGUGGAAAAUCAUCGUAACAAGAAGAUCAAGUUCCUACGGUCUCAUCGUGGGGGUGAAUAUCUGAGUUUCGAGUUUGGUACUCACUUAAAACAAAGUGGAAUUGUUUCGCAAUUAACACCGCCUGGAACACCACAGCGUAAUGGUGUGUCCGAACGUCGUNNNNNNNNNNGCGGUCUGAUCGUGGGGGUGAAUAUCUGAGUUUCGAGUUUGGUGCUCACUUAAGACAAUGUGGAAUUGUGUCGCAGUUAACACCGCCUGGAACACCACAGCGUAAUGGUGUGUCCGAACGUCGUAAUCGUACUUUGUUAGAGAUGGUGCGAUCUAUGAUGUCUCUUACUGAUUUGCCGUUAUCAUUUUGGGGUUAUGCAUUAGAAACAGCUGCAUUCACUUUAAAUAGGGCACCAUCAAAAUCCGUUGAGACGACACCAUACGAACUGUGGUAUGGCAAAAGGCNNNNNNNNNNAAUGGUGCGAUCUAUGAUGUCUCUUACUGAUUUGCCGUUAUCGUUUUGGGGUUAUGCAUUAGAAACAACUGCAUUCACUUUAAAUAGGGCACCAUCGAAAUCCGUUGAAACGACACCAUACGAACUGUGGUAUGGCAAAAGGCCAAAGUUGUCGUUUCUUAAAGUUUGGGGAUGUGAUGCUUAUGUCAAAAAGCUUCAGCCUGAAAAGCUGGAACCCAAAGCGGAAAAGUGCGUCUUCAUAGGUUACCCAAAAGAGACAGUUGGGUACACCUUCUAUCUCAAAUCCGAGGGCAAAGUGUUUGUUGCUAAGAACGGAACUUUUCUCGAGAAGGAUUUUCUCUCGGGAGAAUUGAGUGGGAGGAAGAUAGAACUUGAUGAGGUUGUCGAACCUCUCAUCCCUCUGGAUGGUGGCGCAGGGCAAGGGGAAACCUNNNNNNNNNNNNNNNNNNNNNNNNNNNNNNNNNNNNNNNNNNNNNNNNNNNNNNNNNNNNNNNNNNNNNNNNNNNNNNNNNNNNNNNNNNNNNNNNNNNNNNNNNNNNNNNNNNNNNNNNNNNNGAGGAGGAAGUUAAUGAUGAUGAUCAUGAAACUCCAGUUCAAGUUUCUGUUGAACCACGCAGGUCGACGAGAUCACGCGCUGCUCCAGAGUGGUACGGUAAUCCCGUCUUAUCAAUUAUGUUGUUAGACAACAAUGAACCUGCAAAUUAUGAAGAAGCAAUGGUGGGCCCAGAUUCCAACAAAUGGCUAGAAGCCAUGAAAUCCGAGAUAGGAUCCAUGUAUGAGAACAAAGUAUGGACUUUGGAGAUGCUGCCUGAGGGCCGCAAGGCCAUUCAGAACAAAUGGAUCUUUAAGAAGAAGACGGACGCUGACGGUAAUGUGACCGUUUAUAAAGCUCGACUUGUGGCAAAGGGUUUUUCACAAGUUCCAGGAAUUGACUACGAUGNNNNNNNNNNGUCCGAGAUAGGAUCCAUGUAUGAGAACAAAGUGUGGACUUUGGAGAUACUACCUGAGGGCCGCAAGGCUAUUCAGAACAAAUGGAUCUUUAAGAAGAAGACGGACACUGACGGUAAUGUGACCGUUUAUAAAGCUUGACUUGUGGCAAAGGGUUUUUCACAAGUUCCAGGAAUUGACUACGAUGAGACUUUCUCUCCCGUGGCAAUGCUUAAGUCCGUCAGAAUCAUGUUAGCAAUAGCUGCAUUUUUCGAUUAUGAAAUCUGGCAGAUGGAUGUCAAAACGGCGUUCCUUAACGGUUUCCUUAAGGAAGAGUUGUAUAUGAUGCAACCCGAAGGUUUUGUCGAUCCUAAAAGUGCNNNNNNNNNNNNNNNNNNNNNNNNNNNNNNNNNNNNNNNNNNNNNNNNNNNNNNNNNNNNNNNNNNNNNNNNNNNNNNNNNNNNNNNNNNNNNNNNNNNNUCACAUCACAUCAUUGGCCAUAUCACAUCACAAUCAUACCCUGCAAAAACAAGUUAGACGUCCUCUAAUUUUGUUGUUGCAAGUUUUACGUGGUGACCAAGGGUAUCUAGUAGGAUCGCAUCUUACUUACGCAAACACCACAACGGAGAUAUAUGAGUUGCUAUUUAACCUCAUCCAAGGACCUCCUCAGUCAAAUCCGAUUCAAUUAAAGUUGGAGAAACCGUCACUUGCCAGUCAUCUUUGAGCAAAGGGGUUUACUCGUAACGAUGAAACCAGUCUCUCGUAAGCGNNNNNNNNNNCUAUGAGUUGCUAUUUAACCUCAUCCAAGGACCUCCUCGGUCAAAUCCGAUUCAACUAAAAUUGGAGAAACCGUCACUUGCCAGUCAUCUUUGAGCAAAGGGGGUUACUCGUAACGAUGAAACCAGUCUCUCGUAAGUGUACGCGUAAUGUCGGUCCAAGCCGCUUCAAUCCAACAAUACCGCGGAAUCAAGAAAAGACUAAGGAGGGCAGCAAAACGCACAUCACCGCCCACAAAAACUUUUGUGUUCUACUCGAGAAGACAUCUACGCAUGAACCUAGCUCAUGAUGCCACUGUUGGGGAACGUCGCAUGGGAAACAAAAAUUUUCCUACGCGCACGAAGACCUAUCAUGGUGAUGUCCAUCUACGANNNNNNNNNNNNNNNNNNNNNNNNNNNNNNNNNNNNNNNNNNNNNNNNNNNNNNNNNNNNNNNNNNNNNNNNNNNNNNNNNNNNNNNNNNNNNNNNNNNNCCAGGAUCGUGGAAGCCACCGUAUCUAGACCUCCGCUGCCAUUUAGCUAGCCUUGGAGUCAUGUAAUAUUGUUGUAUGCAACAGUAUUGUAGCACUUCAUCAUAUUAAUAAAGCCAUAUUUGCCUGGAAUUUCUGUAUCAUGCUCAUGACGUGUGUCCGGUCUUAUCCUGGGGACGGAUGUGUGUCGGCCCUCUAUCGGGGUGCCACAUGUAUGAUGUGAUAUGAUAUGGCCAAAGAAAUGAUAUGAUAUAUUUGAUGUAUGAGAUGAUCAUGUUGUAAUAAUUAAAUAUCGACUUGCAUGUCGAUUCUACGACAACCGGCACGAGACAUAGGGUUGUCUUUAAUUAUUUUGAGAUUGAUGAUGCUUUGCUUUAUCGCAAGUUCAGUAGCUUUAGUAGAAACAACAUAGUUAGCGCGACAACCUCGAUGGAAGCACAAUGAUGGAGAUCAUGGUGUGGCGCCGGUGACGAUGGAGAUCAUGCCGGUGCUUUGAAGAUGGAGAUCAAAAGCACAAGUUUAUGGCCAUAUCAUGUUACUUAUGAUUUGCAUGUGAUGUUAAUCCUUUUAUGCACCUUAUUUUUCUUACGACGAUGCUAGCAUUAUAAGGAGAUCCCUCACUAAAAUUUCAAGAUAAAAUUGUGUUCUUCCCGAGUGUGCACCGUUGCGAAAGUUCGUUGUUUCGAGACACCGCGUUAUGAUCGGGUGUGAUACACUCUACGUUCACAUACAACGGGUGCAAAACAGUUGCACACGCGUUUAACUCGGGUUAAAUUUGACGAGCACACAUGGCCUCGGAACACAAGAGACCGAAAUGUCAAACAUGAGUCAUAUAGUAGAUAUGAUCAACAUAGAGAUGUUCACCAUUGAAGCUAACUCAACUCACGUGAUGAUCGGACUUGAGUUAGUGAAUUUGGAUCAUGUCACACUCGAAUGACUAGAGGGAUGUCAAUUUGAGUGGGAGAUUACUAGAAAUAGGAUUAAACUCAUCUAUCUUGAAAGUAGUCUAAGUAAUCUUUGCAAAUUUUAUGUUGUAGAUCAACGGCUCGCGCAGUAGCACCCCUGAAUUUUAAUGCGUUCCUAGGGAAAGCUAAGUUGAAAGAUGAUGAAAGCAACUUUGUUGACUCGGCCCGUAAUAUGAGGCUUAUCCUCAUGGUUUCCCAAAAUCAAUAUGUCCUUGAUGCGCCGUUAGGUGACAUGCCACCCCAACCGGUGACCCAAGACGUUAUGAAUGCUUGGCAGUCGCGUCAGGAUGACUACUCAGUAGUUCAAUGUGCAAUUUUGUAUGGCUUAGAAGCGGGACUUCAAAUACAUUUUGAAUGUCAUGGAGCAUAUGAGAUGUUCCAGGAGUUGAAGUUUAUCUUUGAGAAGAAUGCCCGGAUCGAGAGGUAUGAAACCUCUGCUAAGUUCUAUGCUUGCAAAAUGAAGGUGAACUAGUCUGUAAGUGAACAUGUGCUCAGAAUGUCUGGGUACUCUUACCGUGUGGCUGAGUUGGGAAUUGCUCUCCUGCCAGAAGCAAUCACUCACAGAGUGCUUAAAUCACUACCAACUAGCUAUAAAAGCUUUGCGUUGAACUACAACAUGCAAGGGAUGAAUAAAUCACUCGUCGAGCUGUUUGCGAUGCUGAAAGACGUCGACUCAAAAAUCUAGAAAGAACAUCAAGUGUUGAUGGUCAAUAAGACCACCAGUUUCAAGAAAAACGGCAAGGGAAAGAAGGGUAACUCAAAGAAGUGUGGAAAAGAAGUUUCCCCUCCUAUGAAGAAACCCAAGGUUGGACCCAAGAUAGAAACUGAGUGCUAUCAUUGCAAGGGACUGGUCACUAGAAGCGGAACUGCCCCAAGUAUUUGGCCGAUAAGAAGGCGGCUAACGCCAAAUAAGGUAUAUUUGAUAUACAUGUUAUUGAUCUAUACCUCACCAACUCUCGUUGGAGUGCGUGGGUAUUUGAUACUGGUUCGGUUGCUCACAUUUGCAACUCAAAGCAGGAACUACGAAAUAGAUGAAGGUUGGCGAAGGACGAAGUGACGAUGUGCGUGGGAAAUGGUUCCAACGUUCAUGCAAUCGCCGUUGGCACACUCUCACUUCAAAUACCAUCGGGAUUAGUGAUGAACCUAAAUAAUUAUUAUUUAGUGCCUGCUUUAAGCAUGAACAUUAUAUCUGGAUCUUGUUUAUUGCGAGACGGUUACUCAUUUAAGUCAGAGAAUGAUGGUUGUUCUAUUUAUAUGAGUAAUAUCUUUUAUGGUCAUGCACCCAAUGUGAGGGGUUUGUUCAUGUUAAAUCUCGAUAGUGAUGACACACAUAUCCAUAACAUUGAGGCCAAAAGAUGUAGAGUUGAUAAUGAUAGCACCACUUUCUUGUGGCACUCCCACUUAGGUCAUAUUGGUAUAAAACGCAUGAAGAAACUCCAUGCUGAUGGACUUUUGGAGUCACUUGAUUUUGAAUGACUUGACACAUGUGAACCAUGCCUCAUGGGCAAGAUGAUUAAGAUUCCAUUCUCCGGAACAAUGGAGCGUGCAAGUGACUUGUUGGAGAUCAUACAUACUGAUGAGUGCAUACCAAUGAGCAUAGAGGCGCGCGGUGGUUACCAUUAUUUUCUCACCUUCACAGGUUAUUUGAGUAGAUAUGGUUAUGUUUACUUGAUGAAACACAAGUCUAAAUCAUUUGAGAAGUUCAAGCAAUUUCAGAGUGAAGUUUAAAAUCAUCGUAACAAGAAAUUCAAAUUCCUACGAUCUGAACGAGGAGGAGAAUAUCUGAGUUAUGAGUUUGGCGCUCACUUAAGACAAUGUGGAAUUGUUUCACAGUUGACACUGCCUGGAACACCACAACGUAAUGGUGUGUCUGAACGUUGUAAUCGUAAUUUAUUAGAUAUGGUGGCUUCUAUGAUGUCUCUUACCGAUUUGUCGUUAUCGUUUUGGGGUUAUGCAUUAUCUCUAUCAAAAUCCAUUGAGACGACACCAUAUGAAAUGUGGUUUGGCAAGAAGCCAAAAUUGUUGUUUCUGAAAGUUUGGGGCUGUGAUGCUUGUGUCAAAAAGCUUCAGCCUGAAAAGUUGGAACCCAAGGCGAAAAAGUGUGCCUUCAUAGGAUACCCAAAACAGACAGUUGGGUACACCUUCUAUCUCAGAUCCGAAGGCAAAGUGUUUGUCGCUAAAAACGGAGCUUUUCUUGAGAAAGAGUUUCUAUCGAAAGAAUUGAGUGGGAGGAAGAUAGAACUUGAUGAGGUUAUAGAACCUUUACUUCAACCAGAGAGUAGCGCAACACAGAAAGAUGUUUUUGCGGAACCCACAACAGGUGAAGAGGAAGCUAAUGAUGAUGAUCAUGAAACUUCAGAUCAAGUUGCUAUCGAACCUCGUAGGUCGACAAGGGCACGUACUGCUCCAGAGUGGUACAACAACCCUGUCUUAUCAAUCAUGUUGUUAGACAACGAUGAACCUACGAGCUAUGGAAAAACAAUGGUGGGCCCGGAUUCCAACAAAUGGUUAGAGGCCAUGAAAUCACAGAUAGGAUCCAUGUAUGAAAACAAAGUAUGGAUCUUUAAGAAGAAGACGAAGGUAGACGGUAAUGUCACCGUCUUCAAAGCUCGACUCGUGGCAAAGGGUUUUUCACAAGUUCAAGGAGUUCACUACGGUGAGACUUUCUCACCCGUACCGAUGCUUAAGUCCUUCAGAAUCAUGUUAGCAAUACCUGCAUUUUUCGAUUAUGAAAUUUGGCAGAUGGAUGUCAAAACAAUGUUCCUUCACGGUUCCCUGAAGGAAGAGUUUUAUAUGAUAAAACCAGAAGGUUUUGUCAAUCCAGAGAAUGUUGUCAAAGUAUGCAAACUCCAGCAAUCCAUUUAUGGACUGGUGCAAGCAUCUUGGAGUUGGAAUCGGCACUUUGAUGAGGGGAUCAAGGUGUUUGGGUUUAUAAAAUUUUAUGGAGAAGCUUGUAUUUAAAAGAAAGUGAGUGGGAGCUCUAUAGCGUUUCUAAUAUUAUAUGUGGAUGACAUAUUGCAGAUUCGAAGUGAUAUAGAUCUUGUGUCAAGCGUAAAGAAUUAUUUGAAUAAAAAAAUUCAAUGAAGGACCUAGGAGAAGCUUCUUACAUAUUGGGCAUCAAGAUCUAUAGAGAUAGAUCAAGACGCUUGAUAGGACUUUCACAAAGCACAUACCUUGAUAAAGUUUUGAAGAAGUUCAAAAUGGAACAGUCCAAGAGAGUGUUAAUGUCUAUGUUAUAAGGUAUAAAUUGAGUAAGACUCAAUGCGUGGUGACUACAGAAGAUAUAGAAAAGAUGAGUGUCAUCCCCUAUGAUUCAGCCAUACGGUCUAUCAUGUAUGCAAUGUUUUACACAAGACCUGAUGUCAGCCUUGCCAUAAGUAUGGCGGAAAUGUUUCAAAGUAAUCCAAGAAUGGAGAACUGGACAACGGUCAAGAAUAUUCUGAAGUACCUGAAAAGGACUAAGGAAAUGUUUCUCGUUUAUGGAGGUGACAAAGAGCUCGUCGUAAAGGGUUACGUCGAUGCAAGCUUUGACACUGAUCCGGAUGACUCUAAGUCACAAACCAAAUACGUAUUUAUUCUCAAUGGGGGUCCGGUAAGCUGGUCCAGUUCCAAGCAGAUCGUGGUAGCUAAUUCUACAUGCGAACAGAGUACAUAGCUGCCCUGAGAGGCGGCUAAAGAAGGUGUGUGGAUGAUGCAGUUCAUGACAUAUCUUGGAGUUGUGCCGAGUGCACUGGAUCUAAUUACUCUGUUGUGUGACAACACUAGUGCCAUUGCUCUAGCCUAGGAACCAAGGUUUCAAAAGAGGACUAAACACAUAAAGUGAUGUUUCAAUUCCAUCCGUGAUUACAUCAAGGAGGAGCACAUAAAUAUUUGCAAAGUGCACAUGCAUCUGAAUGUUGUAGACCUGUUGACUAAGUCUCUUCCACGAGCCAAACAUGAUCAACACCAGAACUAUAUGUGUGUUAGAUUCUUACAUUGUAAAUCACAUAGGGAUGUGAUCUAGAUUAUUGACUCUAGUGCAAGUGGGGGACUUUGGAAAUCUGCCCUAGAGGCAAUAAUAAAAUAGUUAUUAUUAUAUUUCCUUGUUCAAGAUAAUCGUUUAUUACCCAUGCUAGAAUUGUAUUGAAUGGAAACUCAGAUACAUGUGUGGAUACAUAGAUAACACACUGUCCCUAGUAAGCCUCUAGUUGACUAGCUUGUUAACCAAAGAUGGUUAAGGUUUCCUAGGCAUGGACAAGUGUUGUCACUUGAUAACGGGAUCACAUCAUUAGGAGAAUGAUGUGAUCCACAAGACCCAAACUAUGAACAUAGGAUGUGAUCGUGUCGUUUUAUUGCUAUUGUUUUUUUGCAUGUCAAGUAUAUGUUCCUAUGACCAUGAGAUCAUGUAACUCACUGGCACCGGAAGAAUACCUUGUGUGUAUCAAACGUCGCAACGUAACUGGGUGACUAUAAAGGUGCUCUACAGGUAUCUCUAAGGUGUCUGUUGAGUUAGCAUGGAUCAAGACUGGGAUUUUUCACUUCGUAUGACGGAGAGGUAUCUCGGGGCCCACUCGGUAAUACAACAUCACAAUAAGCCUUGCAAGCAAUGUGACUAAAGAGUUAGCCACGGGAUUUCGUAUUACGGAACAAGUAAAGAGACUUGUCGGUAAUAGGAUUCAAAUAGGUAUAGAGAUACCAUCGGUCACAGGAUUCAAAUAGGUAUAGAGAUACCAUCGGUAACAGGAUUCAAAUAGGUAUAGAGAUACCGACAAUCGAAUCUCGGGCUAGUAACAUACCUAAGGACAAAAAGAAUGUUAUACGGGAUUAACUGAAUCCUUGACAUAAAGGUUUAACCGAUUAAGAUCUUCGUGGAAUAUGUAGGAUCCAAUAUGGACAUCCAGGUCCCGCUAUUAGAUAUUGACCGGAGAGUGUCUCGGUCAUGUCUACAUAGUUCUCGAACCCGCAGGGUCUGCACACUUAAGGUUCGGUGACGUUUCGGUAUAGUUGAAUUAUGGAUGUUGGUAACCGAAUGUUGUUCGGAGUCCCGGAUGAGAUCCCGAACGUCAUGAGGAGUUCAGGAAUUCCACCGGAGAGGGACCAAUUAGGCCAAAGGGUGGCGCACCAGCCCCUGGUGGGCUGGGCAGCCAUCCCAAGUCGGCCUAUUUCGGCCAAAGUGAAAAGAGAGAGAAGUGGGGCAAACCUACUAGGAGGAGGACUCCUCCUCCACAAAACCAAAUAGGAGGAGGACUCCUCCCUCCCUUGGUGUGUCGGUCGAACCCCUAGGGUUUUCCCUAGGGCACCACCCUCCCUUCCUCCUAUAUAUACUGGAGGGUAGAGAGGCUAGCCGCACCUCAAGCCACGGCGCAGCCCCUCUCCCUCCACUACUUCGUGACAUCCGUAGGUUAUUUUGGUACGGCACAGCGAAGCCCUGCAGGGGUAGCUCCACCAUCAUCACCGUCACGUCGUCGUUCUACCAAAGAAUUCAGCUACCUCUUCAUAUCUCUUGCUAGAUCAAGAAGGCGGAGAUCGUCAUCGAGCUACACGUGUGUUGAACAUGGAGGUGACGUCCAUUCAGUGCUAGAUCAUGAUUGGAUCACGAGACGACUUUCGAUUUGGAUCGCGAAGACGUUCGACUACAUCAACCGUGUUUCUUAAUGCUUCCCGCUUAGUGAUCUACGAGAAUAUGUGGAUCCGAUCUCUCCUCUCAUAGCUGGUCACCGCCAUGGAUAGAUCUUAUGUGUGCAUAGGAAUUUUUUUGUUUCCCAUGCAACAUUCACCAACAUGGUUCUUGCUUCUUUUGAGAACCAAGGUAUUACCGUAUGAAAGGGGAUUUUUUUUCAUAUCAGAUCGCCAUCGAGGAAUACUUAACGCGGUUGACAUUAUCAUUCCCGGGCAUACUCCUUUGCACCAUCGAUGGUGCAUGAGGCAUUUGUUGCAAACUCGUGCCGGGCAUGUGGUAGCAAGGAGUUGACGGAUGAUCUUCAAGAUUGUUGUGAAGCUUUUUCCUACAAACGAUUUUCUAGAUUGUACAACGCUUUCGUUGCAAACACUAAACUUGAUGCAGGGGGUCUUGAGUUUCCCAAUAGGCACAUUCAACUUAGGCCAAAGUGGGCACGAGCUUAUGAUGAAGAUGGCCGAAGAUAUGGUCAAAUGAGAAGCAACAUGGCAGAAUGCUUCAAUUGGGUGCUCAAGGGUGACCGUCCAUUGCCGGUGACGGCAAUAGUUUAAUACACAUUCGACAAGUUGAGAGCAUACUUUCUAAAGUACUCAACUGAAACGGGUGAUCAGAUUGCGGGAGAGAAGAAUAAAAAGUACAAGUACAAGUUCCCACAAAAGGUUAACAAAUGGAUGGAAUUUCAAUCACGGAAGGCUGACUCCCAAACAGCUACGUUGUACAAUAACGAGGAUUGGACGUACCAAGUGAAUGAGCCCGGAGGAACGAUAAACGACGGCCAGCAACAUGGAAACAGGGCGUUCAAGGUAUAUUUAUCGUUGUGUGAUUGCUCUUACGGGAGGCAAAGGUUGAUUAAUCUCGCAUUCUCGUACUUGUGCACGACAUCUCACAGUAGGAAUGUGGACGUCAACCAUCCGCUAACUGUGACGGAGUCCGAGUUCUCUAUCCUGACCAUGAAACAUACAUGAGCUCCUAGAUUUGAACCAUACUUUGACCAAUCACACUGGCUGGAGUAUCAUGUGCUUCAACUAUGUCCUAACCCGGAAUAGAAGGUGUUCGAACGGGGAAGACGAAAGACAAAGUGUUUUAGAGGAGACAUGGAUGGAUGGGGCCAUGGUGGUGGCCGAGAAAUGAGGAACAACCAAUUCCAAUAGCCUAGUGAGAUAUCACAUUUUGGAGAGUGUGGUGGAAGAGGGCACAACACAAUAAGGUGUACCAACCCUAAGAAGAAGUCCAAAAAAAUGAUUCAAGGUCAAGCCAACCAAGUAGUAGUUAACAAGGUCCUAGCCAUGCAAGUAGUAGCCAACAAGUUUGUAAGUGCAUCUAGUGCCCUUAGUGAUUUUUGUGGUUUGAAGAGUUAUAAGUUAAGUGACUAAUGUUUUUGUAAGUGUACACAGGCUCUAUAAGUAGCAGAGGAGUUUGACUUAUACGAUGAAUAUCGAGCCCUAAUAAUGAAUGUCUUUGGCUGAAGAAUUUGGUCUUAUCUUGAAGACUUUGAUCGCGAAGAAAUUGCGAUGAAAUUGAUAUUCCUCAUGAAGAUAUUGAAGAUGAGGAAUUCAGUGUGUCUUGAAGAAUAACCGCCUGGAGACUUUGAAGCAUGAAGAUUUACUCUUUCUGUUUCAUUUUCUUUACUCUUGAGUCAAGGGAACACUGUACUGUUAAAGAGGGUCGAAGUGAUACUACGGAAUGAAUUUCCUCAUGAUGCUCAACCCAAGCCUAAACCUACCAAAGCCUCAAAGUGAGGAUAUGAGAGACAUCAGGACUUACACAGUUGAAAGUUACGACCGUUGCCGCAACACGCGCCACCUCUUUCAUCUUAUCCACCCACUAGCUGGUUGACUACUCCGAGAGAAACUGACACUUUUCAUUUAGAGCAACCCAAAUUCCUUAGAGUCUUUGAGAGAAAAUCAUCAAGUGAGGAAAUACCCCAAACACUGAACCCCAAAACAAAAAACCAAGUGAUUGAGCAUCACUGAAGAAUUCGUUCCUAUGUGGAACUAAAGCCUUUUACCUUUGAGGACUGUACAUCCUCCAGACGGUUAGGUGUCAUUGUCUAGGGCAUCCAACAGUCAAUUGUGGAUCGUCGGGUGAUCGAGUUUGUGAGGGUUUGGAAGUCUGCCCUCAAGACUUACCACGAGUGUUGGGCGAGGACUGUGUGUCCUUAGAUCAAGGAGACUACGGUAGGGACUGUGUGUCCCGGGACUGUGUGUCCAUUGGUUUCAAUACCGAGCCGCUCCGAACCAGACGUACAACUGUCACAUCAGUUGGAACUGGGUCAUCAACAACCGUCUUCAUCGAGCUACGGGAUCUAUUUCUUCAACUGUUCCAUUUCCUCAAGAUUGUAUGUUGAAGACCUUCGUCUGUGUUGUUUGAAGAAUUUGUUUAAAGACUUUCUCUGAAUGUCCUCAACCUCAAAUUCUUCACACGAGUUAAUCUUCACCUGUGCUAUGUGUACCUGCGUACUGUGCAAACCGAUUCUCAUAAUCUUCACUAAGUAAUCUGUUGUAGUAGUCUUUGCACUUCUGAUCCUACGCUAUUUCCUCUCCACAUAAUUCAUCAUUGAGGAAUUUCCUCACAAGGAAUUUCCUCAGUGAUGAAAUUCUAAAAAUUACCUAUUCACCCCCCUCUAGUCGAUAUAACGCUCUUUCAAUUGGUAUCAGAGCAAGGUACUCCCUUGUUUUGUGUGAUUUUGGUUUAACCACCUGGAGUUUUAGUUAUGUCGACCGCAGGUAUGAUCAAGGUUACUGCAGGAUGUCCUACCUAUGAAGGAAAGGACGUUCCCUACUGGAAGACCAAGAUGCACAUGCAUCUUCAGGCUAUUAACAAUGAUCUCUGGUACAUUGUGGAACAUGGUAUUCCCUCCAUCACUUCUACUAUCUCUGCCGCUGAUGUGAAGAUAUUCAAGCAACUUGAUUAUCAAGCGAAGAAUAUCAUCUGUGGCCGUCUGAGCAAAGGUCAGUAUGGCAGAGUGAGUGCUUUGGGCACAGCUAAGCUUAUGUGGAUAGGUUGUCCAAAGUCAAUGAAGGAAUUUCAACUCAGUAUGACUCUCAUGAUGAUGUUCCUCGCAAUCUCUUCAAUCGCUUAAAGACGAUUGACAAUGAAAGCUUCCAAGAUACCUUUGACCGCCUCACUGACAUCUCAAAUGAACUGCAGGCACUGGGAGCUCGAGACAUCACUGACCAUGAAGUUGUGAAGAAACUGCUAAGAUCUCUGGAUCCAUCAUUUGAUACACUGGUUCUGAUGAUUCAAGAAAGAGGAGACUAUAAGAUGCUUGAUCCUGCGGAUAUACUUGAAAGACUCAACACUCAUGAAUUCCAACAGGAAGAAAAGAGAAAUCCUUAUGGACCAAGCUACUCAAUACCUCGUGCGCUGAAGGCCAAAGCAAUUCCCUCAUCUGAAGAAAAAGACUCAGAUUGCAGCAUUGCUGACCAUGAAGAACUUGGACAAGAGUUUGCAAUGCUCGUGAGGAAAUUCUAGAAGUUUACAAGGAGUGGCGAGUUUGGUAAAUCAUCAAGAAGAGAUAUGAGGAAAUCAGAAUCUUCAUCUGAGGACUACAAGAAAAGAACUUUCCACAAAUGCAAGAAAUCUGGUCACUAUAUUGCUGAUUGUCCUCGCUGGGUGAAGGAAUCAAAUAAGAAGAAAUACAAGGAUGAAAGUUCUGAUGGCUCGAAGAAAAACAAGAAAUCUUCAAAAUCCUCAUCCUCAAAGUCCUCAUCGCACAAGAAGACUAGUUUCAGAAAGGCUCGGGCACUCAUUGGCAAGGAAAUGGAUUCUCAGGGAGAAUCUGAGGAAUGUGAUGAAGAGGAAGGAUCUGAAGAAGAUUCAGAGUCUGGAGUGGCAAGUCUUGCACUAGCUACCACAUUCGUCAACAAGUCAAUCUUCAACCUUGAAGAAAAUGACAACGCUAUCUACACCGAUGACUAUCCUGAUGACUUCGCUCCAACCUAUUGCUUCAUGGCAAAAGGUUCAAAGGUACUGAAUGACACUUCCUUCUCUGACUCAAGUGACUAUGAACCUGAUGAUUAUAAAAAACUCAGUUACAGUAAACUUGCCAACAUUGCAACUAAACGACAAAGUGCCAUUGAAAACCUUCAAACACUACUAGACAGAAGCGAUGAUCUAUUGAAUGAUGAAAUGAAUCGAACACAACUCCUCAUUGAAGAUGUGAAAAGUCUACAGUCUAGAUUUGAGAUCUUCAAGGUCGUUAUGGCACACUCUUGGCUGAUCAUGAGAAACUUUCCUAUGAAUUUCUUCAAAGGAAACUUGAUCUUGAGAAGUUGAAGAUGUCUCAUGAUGAUCUUUGAAUGGAAAACGAUUCAUUGCUUCCUCAACAGAUCAGUGCCGCACAGGUUAAAUUUACUCCACCAUGUCUCAAAUGCGUUGAACGUGAAACUGCUAAUUCUUCACUAGAAUCGUCAAAUGCUUUUAUCGCUACAAAUUCUUCAACCGCUCAUAUGGUAUCAAAUUAUUCACUUGAGGAAACCACAAAUGCUACUGACGAAAAUGUAGGGCUGAAGGAAUUGUAUGUGACAGGCAUGUACAAAAGUCUCAAAGGGAAUCAAACCCUUUGCGAUGUGCUCAAAAAGCAGACUUUGAAUAGGAACCCGAGGAAAGAAGUAAUGACCUUCGAGAGGAAAUUGAAUGUUGACGGAUCAUACUGGAAACCUGGGCAGUACCCCAAAACCUCAUGGGUUGCUGCUAAAGGACCUCAUGUUGAUCCAUCUACUCCAACAGGCAGUGCAUCUGAAUUAUCCUAUUCCUUAAAUGAGUCAUUUGACUCCAACUAUAAAUUGUUCAAAAAUCAAUAUGAUGAAGUAUGUGCUCGAUAUGUUGGAACUAAUUGCAGGAAUGGACCACCCCUAAGGAAAAUCUUGGUCCCCAAAAGUUGCUUGGAAAAUCUUCAGGUGAAUGUCCUCAUGACACCACCUAUGAAGAACCUGGACCCCAGAUCAAAUUCCUCAGGUGGACCAAAGUCUUCAAGAGGACCAAAAUCCUCAACUGGUCAAUACUAUGCUCGUACUCAUGCAAAUACUUCUAAUAUGCAGGGAAAUUACAAGGGAUAUGAAUAUGAUCAUUAUUCCUCAAAUCAUUAUGUUCAUAAAUCCUCAAAGAACUUCUGUGCCUAUUCAUUUGAGUACUCUAACCCCCCUACUGUGAAACGAAGUGCAUUAGCUUCAAUGCCCCCUUUCUCAUAUGGUGCUCGCAGGAUGAUGAACUCUUUGCGACCCCUUCAGAUGUGGGUGGUGAAGAAAUUGAACUAAUCACUUCUACAGGUCAGGUCUCCAGAUGAAAGUCAUCAUCUAAAGAAUUUGCUGGAGACGUGAGGAAAAUGCUUGAUUGGACGCAAGCUAAAAUUGAUGCAAUGAUAACAUUUCACACGUCCUCAAAAUUACUGUUUAUGAUGAAAUUCCUAUCUGAUGAAAUUUAAAUCAUAUUCUUCAAGUCUGAAGCAUAUGAGAUGGUAAGUUGUACUAAUUCAUCUGCAGGAUGACAAACCCAAGAAUACAGAGUGGGUUAUUGAAAGUGGUUGCACAAACCACGUGACUGGUGAUAAAAGCUUGCUAAUGAAUAUGCCACUAAAUCCAUAACCACUAAAGCAAAUCACUUAUGCUCACAAAGGUAAAAGAAAGGUAUUGGGACUUGGCAAAGUGGCUAUUUCCAAGGACGGGCACAUGGACAAAGUCAUGUUUGUCGAAUCCCUUGGGUUUAACCUCAUGUCAGUCUUAAUGCUUUGUGAUCUUGAUAUGGUUGUUAUCUUUGGAAAAUAUAGAUGUGUAGUCAACAUGGAAACUGAUAGAUCCAAAGUCUUCGAAGGCUUUAGGAGAGGAGAUUUGUACAUUGUUGAUUUUUCCACAGGUCCUGAACCAUCCACAUGCUUACUUGCAAACACCUCAGAAAGUUGGCUAUGGCAUCGAAGACUUGGUCAUGCACGCAUGAGGAAUUUGCACACGCUGGUGAAGAAGAAGCAUGUGAUUGGCAUCGAAUCAGUCAAGUUCCUUAAGGACCACCUCUGCGGUGCUUGUGAAUCUCAAAAAAUGACCAGAUCCAAACACCCCUCGAAGACUAUCAGGACUACUACUCGUACGUUUGAAUUGAUUCACAUGGAUCUAUUUGGACCUACUCAUUAUGCUACUCUAACCAAUGCAGCAUCCUUAUAUGGCUUUGUCAUCGUUGAUGACUACUCUCGAUAUACUUGGGUACAUACCAUUCUGUAUAAAACUGAAGUGCAGGAAGUCUUGAAACGAUUUUCCUCAAGGGCCUCGACGAACUUUGGCAUCAAGAUCAAACACAUCGGGAGUGACAAUGGGACAGAAUUCAAAAACACUGGUCUUGAUGAUUAUCUUGAUGAACUUGGUAUUACUCACGAAUUAUAUGCUCCUUAUACUCCUCAACAGAACGACAUCGUUGAAUGUAAGAACAUGACUCUGGUUGAAAUGGCACGGACUAUGCUUGAAGAAUAUCAGACUCCUCGUCGCUUCUGGCCUGAAGCAAUCAACACUGCUUGCCACAUCAUCAACAGGGUAUAUCUUCACAAAUUCCUCAAGAAAACCUCAUACGAACUCCUCACUGACAAGAAACCCAAUGUAAGUUAUUUCAAAGUCUUCGGUGCAAAGUGCUGGAUUAGAUAUCCUCACCAUAGCUCAAAAUUUGCACCUGAAGCACAUGAGGGUUUUAUGCUUGGUUACGGGAAGGACUCGCACACCUACAGAGUCUUCAACACCUAUCACAACAAGGUUGUUGAAACUGUAGAUGUGUGGUUCGAUGAAACUAAUGGCUCGCAAAGAGAGCAAUUGCCUCCUGUGCCAGACAAAUUAUCCCAUGAGGAAGCUAUCAAGUUCAAAGCUACUGAAGACAUCGUUCCAACUGAGGAAAUUGCUGAAGAAAUCGUACCCGGCACUGAUGAAAUUCAAGAAGGUGCACCUAAGGAAAUUGCUCAAGUUCAAAUUCCUCAGCCCAGACAAAAUCUUCAACCAGCCCAUCCAAGAAUUGCAAAUGAAGUGGAACUCGACAAAAUCCUCGAUAAAAUCAAUGCGUCAGGUCCUCUCACUCGCUCGAAAGCUUCACAUUUAGUUAACUUUUGUGCGCAUUCCUCCUUUAUUUCUAUCACAGAACCCUCAAAAGUUGUUGAAGCCGUCAUGGAACCUGAGUGGAUUCAAGCCAUGCAAGAUCAACUUCUUCAAUUUAAGCUAAAUGACGUGUGGAAACUCGUCAAACGACCAGAUCCUCGCAAGCACAAUAUCAUUGGCACCAAGUGGAUAUUCCGAAACAAGCAAGAUGAGGAUGGUCAAGUGGUGAGGAAUAAGGCACUGUGUGUAGCCCAAGGCUACACACUGGUUGAAGGAAUUGAUUUCGAUGAAACUUUUGCACCUGUUGCUACACUUGAAGCUAUUCUAAUACAACUUGCUUAUGCUAAUCAUCAUAAUAUUACUAUAUAUCAAAUGGAUGUAAAAAGUGCAUUCCUAAAUGGUAAGCUUGAGGAAGAAGUUAUAUUGCUCAGCCCCCAGGUUUUGAGGAUCCGAAGUAUCCAGACAAAGUCUUCAGACUCAAAAAGGCACUCUAUGGACUCAAGCAAGCCCCUCGGGCGUGGUAUGACACAUUGAAGGAAUUCCUCAUGAAGAAAGGCUUCAAACCUGGUUCACUCGAUUCAACUCUUUUCACAAAAUCUUAUGACAAUGAACUAUUUGAGUGCCAAAUAUAUGUCGACGACAUUAUCUUUGGUUGUACUGAUAAAUGUUACAGUGAUGAAUUUGCUUACAUGAUGAGUGAAGAAUAUCAGAUGUCUAUGAUGCGGGAGCUGAAAUUCUUCUUAGGUCUUCAAAUUCGUCAACAACGAAAUGGCAUCUUCAUAUCACAGCAGAAAUACCUCAAGGAUGUUUAGAGGAAAUUCAACAUGCAUGAAUGUAAAGGCGCCAAGAUUCCUAUGCCUACCAAUGGCCACCUCUGCAUUGACGAAAAUGGAAAAGAUUUCGGUCGGCAUGUAUAUCGCUCGAUGAUUGGCUCUUUAUUGUACCUGUGUGCAUCUAGGCCAGAUAUAAUGCUUAGUGUUUGCAUGUGUGCUCGUUUUCAAGCAAAACCGAAGCAAUCACACCAUAAGGCUGUGAAGCAUAUUCUUCGAUACUUGGCUCACACACCAACACUAGGAUUAUGGUACCCCAAGGGCUCAAAUCUUCAUCUCGUUGGAUAUUCUGAUUCUGGUUAUGUUGGUGACCGUGUGGAUUGCAAGUCAACAUCAGGGACAUGCCAUUUCCUCGGAAGAUCGUUAGUCUGCUGGUCCUCAAAGAAGCAGAACUGUGUCUCUCUUUCCACUGCCGAAGCUGAGUACAUUGUUGUUGGAUCCUGCUGUGCUCAACUGCUCCGGAUGAAGCAAGCCCUCAGAGACUACGGUGUCAACAUGAAGAAUGUGCCUCUCUACUGUGACAAUGAGAGUGCAAUCAAGAUCGCCCACAACCAAGUACAACACUCGAAGACUAAGCACAUCAAGAUUCGUCAUCAUUUUCUUCGGGGCCAUGUCCUCAAGUGUAAUAUCAUCAUCGAUCAUGUAAAUACUGACGAUCAGCUAGCAGAUAUUUUCACUAAGCCCUUGGAUGAGAGAAGGUUUUGCAAGUUGAGGUGUGAGCUACAUAUCCUAGAGUCCUCAAAUGUUUUGUGAAAACAUGCACACAUCCUAACACUUAUGCAAAAUUGAUGACUUAGAUGUGCAACACACGAAGAAUCGAUUUUCUUCAAUCAAUGAAGAAUAUCACUCUUAGAGUGAAAAAAUUAAUGAAGAAUUUGGUUCUCAGGGCCCUACGACAAUUGUACGCGGCGCUUGAAAUCAGCAUUCUUAUACGGUGGGUCACGCCACCACCCAACUUUGAAAUUCUUCAAGCUGUUUUUCUUCAAAGCAGAAAAUCAUCAAUCUAAAACAUUGUCACAAAAUCCUCAAGUUUUUCAAAAUUUUCAAUUUCUUCAAAAUGUUUGAUGAUUUUCAUUUGCAUAUAUAUACAUAUAUAGACUGAGAUUUCAAAGUCCUCAACAGCAUUCACUUAUAGCUCGAUCUUCAAAUUGAUAUUUCAUCUAAGAGAAUGUGAUCGGACCCGACUCCCCUCUAUGCUAAGCUCAAUCCAGUCUAUUCAUUUCUUCAUAUGGGUUCUACUUGACACUUGUUCAAAAUCCUCACUAUGUCCUUGUCAGCUAUGGACUUUGCAACGAAAUCCUCAACAAUUCAAAAAUCAGUUUUAUUAGCGUUACACAGUAACUGGACCCACUUCUCACGAUCGGAUAACCACGAACUCCACCGCUUCAGUCGUGGGCUCCACUUGUCAUGCGGAGACGAAUGGGCAAGGGCAGUUCGGUUCGAAACUUUCGGCCAAACAGUUUUUCACCUGAGCUAUAAAUAGGCCCUUACCCCCCCCCCCUUCAGUCAAAACUCUUCGUCCUCUCGUCUUCUCCACUCGAGCUCAACCCUAGCGCCACCGCUAGCAAUCUCGUCGCGGGUGUGGAAAAGCUUCGCUGCCUUGUCCUCACCGUCAACGGACUCACGCCAACUCUGGAAAAUCGACUUCCGUCGCCGCCGUAGCUCAUUUCAGUUGCCAAGUUAGGGCGCUGAAGAUCUGAACCGAGGAACAUCCCUCUUUUACUGCUCCAGUUCUUUGUGUUCUUCACACAGGGUAAAUAAAAUCCUAUUUUACUACCUCUCUUGAUCUUUCAAUUCACUUUAGACUCACGAAAUCUGUUUUUCCUCAGAGUGUGUCUCAGCCUUGCACACUCAUUCCUCAAACACUUGAUGAAUUUCACUAAGCCACUAAAAUUCUUCAUGAGAUUCGUCAAUUGUGUAAAUUCUCGAAUCUGCACAACUCUGGAACCCAAGAUCGUAAUGCUUAGUCAAAUUCCUCAACCCACUUUUCAAAUUCCUCAACUUCUAAAAAUUCAAUUUCUUCAAAUCUAAGAACGCAUAUGACCUCUCCAAAUUCUUCGCACCUAUACUGGGUUCACAAGUACAAAAAACUCAGGUGAUGAAUCUUUAGGUUCUCAUCAACUUAACUCAUUUGCAGCAUUCCUCGAAUAAACUUUACCUAUGUCAUCAAAAUCAUCAAGAGUUGAGAUUCCUCAGCAAACGCCUCAGUUGAAGAAAAUGGAGGAUGACUGGAAGCAGAAGGGAGGAAACAAGCUUGAACAGAACACGUCAUUUGAAAUACCUGAACACAUAUAAGCUUACUAUUGCACUCCGGAUGAGGAAAUUCAUGGUAAAGAAACCAUGGCGACGCGCAAGACAAGGCUUUAGAAAAUUGAACGCAGGUGGGCUAAGGAGUGCAAUGAGUAAAAAUAUGUUACUCCAAAGUUUGCGAAGAAAUUCACCCUCAAGCCACCUGUCAAAAGGCCUCCACAGGGUGAUCAACAAGUCGCUCAUCCCUCAAGCGUUAAAACUAUUGAGGAUUACCCAGAUGAGAAAGACAAAUAUUUGUCUAAGUUAUAGAAGAAGGCAGAAGGAGCUGGGAAGAAAUACAAUGAGGACUCUGCUGCUACAGGCACUACUACCACUUCUUCAGCUCCUGAGGCCUCUUCUACAGCAAUUCCUCAGAAGAAGACUUUGCUGAAGAAAUCCAAAGCCCCAACUACAGUGCGAAAAGAGCAAUUGCCUCAGAAGGCUGCAACGGCCACAAAAUCUUGAACAGCACCACAGUCUUCACAACCACAACAGAAGCAGCACAUUAGGCAUCAACCUGCUCAAUCAUGUUCCUGAGUGCCAUCUGCCACUAGCUCUGCUGCAAAGUCUUCACCCACUUUAUUAAUGACUAAAAUGACUACUGGUAGAGGCAUCAGGCCAAGUCCUAGCAAAGUCAUCAACGUUCCUUCUGCAUCACAGAAGGAAGUGAAGAAUUUGAUGACGAAACACUCCAAGCAAUCAUCAGAAACAAACAGGAACGGGUUGCACAAGCCUCCGGCAGCUCCAUUCCUCUAGCCAUGGACCCGAAGGUUUUGCUGGAUUUCAUCAACCUCUGGUAUGAAGAUCCAAACACCCCAGUUGAUGACUUAAGGCUUCCCCCUCAUGUCAGCCAUAUGGUGGCCACUUUCAUCAAUGAAGCAAAGUGGAAAGAGCAGCAAGCCAAGCAAGCAAGGGCUGCCAAAGUGAAAAAGGAGAAAUUCCUCAAGCAGAAUCUCCUAAACCUGACACCUGAAGCACUUGUAUCGACUCAGGCUGAACACAAAACCCUCACAUACAAGUAUACAAGUCUUCACUCUGAUCGACAAGGCGUCAAAGCAAAAUUCAUCAUGGUUGCAACAGCUGUUGUUGAUGAAUACAAUAAGAGGACUGCUCCUCCAAAGCAGCAAACACCAUCUCAGUCUAGCUACAUUGUUCAGCUGCCUAUGGAAGAAGAAACUGAUGAACCUGCUGCUGAGGAAAUUCCUCAAAAUAUUCCAUCUAAAGAAACUGCUCCAGCUGAAGAAACUGUCAGGCCUGACACUGCACCAGUGCCUGAUGAAACUGUUCCUUCACCACAACCCUCAAUGGUGAAGAAGGUGACUCCGUCUGCAUCAGAUGUGAAGAAGACUAAAGUGGCUGAGAAAACCUUCAAUGGCCUCAGAAAUCUCACAGACCAAACGCUGAAAAUUACUCAGUCGGAGUCUUCAUCAGCCCCCAUGGAUGCUACCCCUCUGAAUGUAGCACCAUCAUACUUGAUCGUUCCCUUCGGAGUUGACUAUGUCAUUCCUGAAGAAGAUGAAGAAAUGGAUGAUGCUGAAGAUGAAGAAGUAAUGGAUGGGGAAAUACAGAUAGAUGACAUUCCUCAGUCCACCACUCCUCCAAAGACCACUGAAGAACAAGUGGGUGAUGAUGAAACUGGGUGCAACACUCCAGUAAUUCAUGAUGAUUUCUGGGAAGAAGCUCAUCCUCGCUCACCAAGGUAAACUGAAAUUCCUCUGACUCCUGCUGCAACUGAGAUCCUCACACGUUCUAGCGGGAAAAACAUUUGUGAGGAAUCUUCUCAAGAAUCAGCUGCAUCAACUGAAGACAAUGCAGCAACGAAUACUGCAACUGCCUCCUCCAACAAGCAAAAUCCUCAAGCUGAGGAAAAUCCUCCAACUGAUGAAAAUCCUCAAACUGACGAAAAUGCUCCAACUGAGGAAAUGCUACUGCGCCGAACACUGAAACUGCUAUUGUUGUGGUCAACACAGCAACAUCAAUGAUAGUGGCUACUCCUCAAGAGCAGCAACACAAUCUUCAACCGUAGCAGAAUCAGCCUUUCUCCAAAAGGCCAAAGUUUCAGAAAGAGGUAUUCUAUGAAGAACGCAUGUAUUUCACUGGCGAAAAUUCAUAUGACAAGCUUCGCAUCAGACAUAGGAAGUUUUGGACAAGAAAUCAGCCUAACUAUUAUGCUUCAGUGGUGUGUGGGAGAAACAAGAUAUUUCAGCAUACCCAUAUUCCUCACUGUGAUAUGGAGGAAAUACCUUGUUUUGCUCCAAUCCUUAACGUUCUUCACGAAGCUGGAUUACUGCCUUUCUGCACUAACAUCGGAGAUUGGAACACUGACAUCAUUCUUCUAUUGUACGCCACACUCCACAUCUCUGGCGACCCAAAGGAUGUCAACACUUGGGUUUUGGAUUGGAUGACUGAGCACACGCACUACAAAGCGCCUGCAACUGAAUUGCUUCAAGCUCUUCCAAUCUCAAUUCCCUCAGAGGAUGCAAUUCUGAUGUAUGAUGAACGUGAACUGCCCAACAGGCUGAUGGAAGUCCUCAUGAAGCCUUUGGCCAAGGAUCAACCCCCAAGGACUCGAUUUCUGGUACAGGACUUGAAAUAUGAACCCAGAACAGUGUAUAGAACCCUGUCUUAUGCCAUUGCUCCUAUCAAAGGGCAUCAUGAUGAAGAAGAUGGCAUAGGCAUCAUGAAGAAUAUCUUGUUCAAUGUCAUCCAUGGCAUACCUAUGAAUCUUCAUGAUUUCUUCUUGAGGACUUUGGCUGACAAUGCCAUGUCGCCAUUUGAAUUGAAGAUUAUGCGCCUUGGAUUAUGAGAUUCAUCAGAAACAGGUGAGGCAUCAACUACCAAGUUGAUUUUCAGAAUCAUCUCGGAUAUUUGCCUCCUACCAAACUCAUCAAGAAAUCAGUUGAACCUGUUGAAGGCAAAGGCAACCUUGUAAUUGAUGAAGGAAAUCGGCCCUUUGAUGGCAAAUUUCGAAAAGCAGAUUCUUAUUCUUCAUAUGAUGACACUGCUACCCAAGAUCCUCCAAGCCCAACUGCCCCCACAGUGAUGAAUAAUAGAGAGCUACUCCUCAAUCUUAAUCAAAAGGUCGAUCGCAAUCACAAGCGGGUUAAACAUCAGUUUAGUGCCAUUGUGAAAACCAUCAACGAAACUCAGAAUGCAGUGAAGAAAAAUCACUAUUAUCUUCAUGAGGUGUUUGAUCGCACUUGGGCCACCUUGGCUCACCUGAAGACUCAAGAAGAACUUGAGGAAUUGGAGUUUACUCAAGACUUCGACUGGUCGUGACCUCCAAAGAAGAAAUUCAAGACAAUUCCAGUUCCUAACUUGGAGGACAGUUCAUUUUCUUCAUUUCGCACUUCUGAAUCACAUGAAGAACCAGAAGACACUGCAGCUGGUCAAUGGAAGAAGCAUGUCUCCAAGAAUCCUCACGCCUCUACAUCAACUAAGAAUUGAGUUUCUUCAAGGGUGUUAGUCCUCAGUUUUGUCCCUUUUUCGUCACUUUAUGAUAAAGAGGGAGAAAUCUGAGAGUUAGUCUUCAAGCGGGAUCUAUUUUGGGGCUUAUAAACUUUAUUAAGUUACAAACUCUUGGCUCUUCUGAAGUGUUUGAUGUAAUGAGUUGUAACUUAAGCCCGAUGGUGCUCUGACUCUUUUGAACGUUUUUCUUCACAUGCUUAUUCCUCAAUGUCUAUUAAUGCAGGCAUGCUGAAAUUUGGCAGACACCAUUUUUCAUCAUGCAUUUUCAAAUUCCUCAUAAUACAUGUCAAAUGUAUGCAUGAUUUACAAGAUACAGGGGUGAUCUCCAUGAUAUAAAUUAUCAAUGUGCAUGUGCUAUGCAAAGAAAAUUCCUCAAACUAUGCACAUCUUCAAGGGGAGUCUCUCGGUAUCUUGAUUUUAAAUUCCUCAAACUCAGUACUUACAUUUCAUAUCUUUAUCCCCGUUGAAAACUCAACCUAAUUGUCAUCAACCACCAAAAAGGGGGAGAUUGUAAGUGCAUCUAGUGCCCUUAGUGAUUUUGGUGGUUUGAAGACUUAUAGGUUAAGUGACUAAUGUAUUUGUAAGUAUACACAUGCUCUAUAAGUCGCUGAGGAGUUUGAGCUAUACGUUGAAUAUCGACCCCUAAAAAUGAAUGUCUUCGGCUGAAGAAUUUGGUCUUAUCUUGAAGACUUUGAUCGCAAAGAAAUUGCGAUGAAAUUGAUAUUCCUCAUGAAGAUAUUGAAGAUGAGGAAUUCGGUGUGUCCUGAAGAAUAACCACAUGAAGACUUUGAAGCGUGAAUAUUUACUCUUUCUGUUUCAUUUUCUUUACUCUUGAGUCAUAGGAACAUCAUACUGUUAAAGGGGGUCGAAGUGAUACUACGGAAUGAAUUUCCUCAUGAUGCUCAACCCAAGCCUAAACCUACCAAAGUCUCAAAGUGAGGAAUAUGAGAGACAUGAGGACUUUCACAGUUGGAAGUUCCGACCGUUGCCGCAACACGCACCAUCUCAGUGAUCUUAUCCACCCAACGGUCACAUUAUUUAAGGGCAUUUAUGUCAAAUCAUGUCGGGAUGCUCCCAGGCUAUAAAUAGCCGCCCCCCACAACCACUAGUUGGUUGGCUGCUCCGAGAGAAACUGACACUUUUCAUUUAGAGCAACCGAAAUUCCUCGGAGUCUUUGAGAGAAAAUCAUCAAGUGAGGAAAUACCCCAAACACCGAACCCCAAAACCAAAAAACCAAGUGAUUGAGCAUCAGUGAAGAAUUUGUUCCUAUGUGGAACUGAAGCCUUUUACCUUUGAGGACUGUGUAUCCUCCACACGGUUAGGCGUCAUGGUCUAGAGCAUCCAGCAGUCAAUUGUGGAUCGCCGGGUGACCGAGUUUGUGAGGUUUGUAUGUCUUCCCUAAAGACUUACCACGAACGUUGGGUAAGGAUUGUGUGUCCUUAUCUCAAGGAGAAUACGGUAGGGACUGUGUGUCCCAGGACUGUGUGUCCAUUGGUUUCAAUACCAAGCCGCUCCGAACCAGACGUACAACUAUCACAAUAGUUGGAACUAGGUCACCAACAACCGUCUUCACCGAGCUACGGGUUCUAUUUCUUGAACUCUUCCAUUUCCUCAAGAUUGUAUGUUGAAGACCUUCGUCUGUGUUGUUUGGAGAAUUAGUUUGAAGACUUUCUCUGAAUUUCCUCAACCUCAAAUUCUUCACUCGAUUUAAUCUUCACCUGCGUUCUAUGUACCUGCGUACUGUGCAAACCGAUUCUCAUAAUCUUCACUAAGUAAUUUGUUGUAGUAUUCUUUCCACUUCUGAUCCUGUGCAAUUUUCGCUGCAUGUAAUUUAUCAUUGAGGAAUUUACUCACAAGGAAUUUCCUCAGCGAUGAAAUUCUAAAAAUCGCCUAUUCACCCCUCCUCUAGUCGAUAUAACUCACUUUCAAAGUUCCUAGCCAACAAGUUCCUAGUCAACAUGUUCCUAGCCAACAUGUUCCUAGCCGACUUGGACUUACUAGAGGACGUGAUCAUGGGAAGUGCGUGGUGGUGCUAGAGGUAGGGGUGGGAGAGCUCGUGGACUUACUAGGAUUGGUAUGCAUAGAUACCUACGAGGACCAUUUCCGUAUGUCACACUAUUGACUUAUCUUUUUCAUGUUGUUUUUAAUGCUCCCUUCUAUGUUAACCAUGUACUAUCAUUGCUUUAGUAACUAUUAUGUUGCUAUUUUUUCAUAGGUAUGGCGGCGUCUCAACCCAACAAGGCAACAAUGGAGUGGGUGGAGGACAAGGAUGCAGUCGGUGAGGAGCAGGGGUUGUGGGAGACGGCUGCAAAGAAGAUGAGAGAGAAGGAUGCAGCCAAAGUGGAGAGGAAGAAGGAAGAGGCAAGCGAAGGGAAGUGGAAGGAAGAUAUGAAAAUGGACAUUCAACAUAUUAACUACCUUCGGCGGAAACAGGAGGAGCACAAGAAGAUGAUGGAGAAACGUCAAAGGGAUCUUGUAGCAAACUUUAAGAAGCUUACCGUAGAGAUUGCAGCAAAGAGAGACCGGGAGCAUCAACGCUUCACGGAGACGGUGAUGAAAGAGGCUUCAAAAAUGCACAAAAGGGAAGAGGAAGAGGAAGAAGAGAGGAAGAAGAAGAACGGAAAGGGGUCGUGCUCGACACAAUAGAGCUUGCUACUUCUUUUCGUCAUGCGCACUUUCAUCUUUGAACUUGUUGUGUUGUUGAACCUUGUCGACUUGCGUGCUCUAAUAUUUGGAACUUGUAUACUAUGAAACUCCUCUAUACGGAACUUAUCUAUUAUGAAACUCCUCUGUUAUGAAGCUCCUCUAUGUGUUGCUGGGAUUGUAAGUGCAUCUAGUGCCCCUUAGUGAUUUUGGUGGUUUGAAGAUUUAUAGGUUAAGUAUCUAAUGUGUUCAUGAGUGUACACAGGAUCAAUAAGUCGCUGAGGAGUUUGAAAUAUUCGAUGAAUAUCGACCCCUAAAAAUGUAUAUCUUCGGCUCAAGAAAUUGGUCUUCUGCCGAAGACUUUGAUCGCGAAGAAAUUGCGAUGAAAUUGAUAUUCCUCAUGAAGAUAUUGAAGAUGAGGAAUUUGGUGUGUCCUGAAGAAAAUCAAUCCGAAGACUUUGAAGCGUGAACAUUUAUUCUUUUUGUUUCAUUUUAUUCACUCUUGAGUCAUAGGAACACCGUAGUGUUAAAGAGGUCGAGGUAACACUUCGGAAAGAAUUUCCUCAUGUGCUCAACCCAAGCCUAAUCCUACCAAAAGCCUCAAGUGAGGAAUAUGAGAGACAUGAUGAUGAUGAUCUCACAGUUGAGGGUCCCGACCGUUGCCACAAUUCGCGCCACAUCACCGAUCUUAUCCACACCAACGGUCAUAUUAUUUAAGGGCAUUAAUGUCAAAUCAUGUCGGGAUGCUCCCAGGCUAUAAAUAGCCGCCCCCACAACCAUUAGCUGGUUGGCUGCUCCGCAAGAAACUGACACUUGUCAUUUAGAGCAACCCAAAUUCCUUAGAGAGUUCGAGAGUAAAUCAUCAGUGAGGAAAUACCCCAAACACCAAACCACAAACCAAAAACCAAGUGAUUGAGCAUCACUGAAGAAUUUGUUCUUGUGUGGGACUGAAGACUUUUACCUUUGAGGACUAUGCAUCCUCCAGAUGGUUAGGUGUCAUGGUCUAGAGCAAUCCAGCAGUCAAUUAUGGAUCGCCGGGUGACCAAGUUUGUGAGGGUUUGGAAGUCUACCCUGAAGACUUACCACGAGUGUUGGGCGAGGACUGUGUGUCCUUAGCUCAAGGAGAUACGGUAGGGACUGUGUGUCCUUCGGUUUUAAUACCAAGCCGCUACGAACCAGACGUACGACUGUCACAACAGUUGGAACUGGGUCAUCAACAACUGUCUUCACUGUGAUCCGGGUUCUAUUUCUUCAACUCUUUCAAUUCCUCAAUAUUGUAUGUUGAAGAUUUUCGUUGUCUCCGUUUGAAGAAUUUGCUGAAGACUUUCUCUGGAUUUCCUCAACCUCAAAUUCUUCACACUAGUUAAUCCUCACCUGCUUACUCUGUGCAUGCGUACUGUCCAAACUAUUUGUCAUAAUCCUCAUUGAGGAAACUGCUGUAGUAUACUUUGCACCCCUGAUCCUUUGCUAUUUCCGCUGCAAGUUAGUCAUCAGUGAGGAAUUUCCUCAAAAUGAAUUUCCUCAGUGAUGAAAUUCUAAAAAUCUCCUAUUCACCCCCCUCUAGUCGAUAUAACGCACUUUUAGUUGGUAUCAGAGCAAGGUACUCCCUUGUUUUGUGUGAUUUUGGUCUAACCACCUAGAGUUUUAGUUAUGUCGACUGCAGGCAUGAUUAAGGUUACUGCAGGAUGUCCUUCUUUCGAAGGAAAGGACUUUCCCUUCUGGAAGACCAAGAUGCAGAUGCAUCUUCACGCUAUUGACAAUGAUAUCUUGUACAUUGUGGAAUAUGGUGUUCCUCUCAUCACUGCUACUGUCUCUGCCGCUGAUGUGAAAAAUUCAAGCAACUUGAUUCUCAAGCGAAGAAUAUCAUUUGUGGCCAUCUGAGCAAAGGUCAGGAUGGCAGAGUGAGUGCUUUGGGCUGAGCAAAACUAAUCUGGGAAAGGCUGUCCAAAGUAAAUGAAGGAGUAUCAACUCAGUGUGACUCUCGUGUUGAUGUUCUUCACAUUCUCUUCAAUCGCUUAAAGAGGCUUGACAAUGAAAGCUACCAAGAUACCUUUGAUCGCCUCGACAUAUCAAAUGAACUGCAAGCACUCGGAGCUCGAGACAUUACAGACCAUGAAGUUGUGAAGAAACUGCUAAGAACUUUGGAUUCUUAAUUUGAUACCUUGGUUCUGAUGAUUCAAGAAAGACCAGACUACAAGAUGUUGGAUCCUGCUGAUAUACUCGAAAGACUCAAUACUCAUGAAUUCCAACAAGGAGAAAAGAGGGAUCUAUAUUGACCAAGCUAUUCUAGACCUCGCGCACUGAAGGCCAAAGCAAUUUCCUCAUCUGAAGAAGAAAACUAGGAUUGCAGCAUUGGUGAUCCUGAAGAACUUGGACAGGAGCUUGUAAUGCUCGUGAGGAAAUUCCAGAAGUUUACAAGACAUGGCCAGUUUGGUAAAUCUUCAAGAAGAGAUAUGAGGAAAUCAGAAUCUUCAUCUGAGGACUACAAGAAAAGAACCUUCCACAAAUGCAAGAAAUCAGGUCACUAUAUUGCUGAUUGUCCUCGUUGGGUGAAGGAACCAAAGAAGAAGAAAUACAAGGAUGAAAGUUCUGAUGACUCGAAGAAAAAGAAGAAAUCUUCAAAAUCUUCAUCCUCAAAGUCCUCAUCACACAAGAAGACUAGUUUCAGAAAGGCUCGGGCACUUAUUGCUAAGGAAAUGGAUUCUGAGGCAGAAUCUGAGGAAUGUGAUGAAGAGGAGGGUUCUGAAGAAGACUCGGAAUCUGGAGAGGCUAGUCUUGCACUAGCAACCACAUUCGUCAGCAAGUCAAUCUUCAAACUUGAAGAAAAUGACAACGCCAUCCACACUGAUGACUAUGUUGAUGACUUCGCUCCAACCUAUUGCUUCAUGGCAAAAGGUUCAAAGGUACCGAAUGAUGCAUCCUCCUCUGAUUCAAGUGACUGCGAACCUGAUGAUUAUAAAAAACCCAGUUACAGUAAACUUGCUAUCAUUGCAACUAAACAACAAACUAUCCUUGAAAAACUUCAGAAAAUGCUAGAUAGAAGCGAUGACCUGUUGAAUGAUGAAAUGAAUCUUACCCAAAUCCUCAAUGAAGAUAUGAAAAUUCUUCAGUCCAGAUUUGAUAAUCUUCAAGAUCGUCAUGGCACACUCCUCGCUGAUCAUGAGAAACUUUCCAAUGAAUUUCUUCAAAGGAAACUUGAUCUUGGUAAGCUAAGGAUUUCUCAUGAUGAUCUUCGUAUGGAAAAUGAUUCGUUACUCACUCAGGUUGAAUUCAUUCCUCCAUGUCUUGAAUGCAUCGAACCUGAAACUGCUAAUUCUUCACCAGAAUCAUCAGAUGCUUCUAUUGCUACAAAUUCUUCAACUGCUCAUGCGGUAUCAAAUUCCUCACUUCAGGAAACCACAAAUGUCACCGAUGAAAAUGCAGGGCUGAAGGAAUUGUAUGUGACAGGCAUCUACAAAAGUCUCAGAGGGCACCAAACCCUUUGCGAUGUGCUCCAAAAGCAGAUUUUGAACAAGAACCCGAGGAAAGAAGGAAUUGCCUUUUAGAGGAAAUUGAAUGCUGAUGGAUCAUACUGGAAACCUGAGCAGUACCUCAAAACCUCAUGGGUUGCUGCUAAAGGGCCUCUUGUUGAUCCAUCCAAUCUAACAAGCUUUGCAUGUGAAUUAUCUUGUUCCUCAGACGAGUCAUUUGAUUCCAACUAUAAACUGUUCAAAAAUCAAUUUGGUGAAGUAUUUGCUCGAUAUGUUUGAACUAACUACAGGAAUGGACCACCCUUGAGGAAAAUCUGGGUCCCCAAAAGUUGCCUUGAAAAUAUUCAGGUGAAUUUACUCAUGGCACCACCUGUGAAGAAUUUGAACCCCAGAUCUAAUUCCUCAGGUGGACCAAAGUCUUCAAGAGGAUCAAAAUCCUCAACUGGUCAAAACUAUGCUCGUACCCGUGCUAAUGCUUCUAAUAUGCAGGGAAAUCACAAGGGACAUGAAUAUGAGUAUUACUCUUCAAAUCAUUAUGUUCAUAAAUCCUCAAAGAAUUUCUUUGCCUAUUCAUUUGAGUAAUCUAACCCCCUUAAUGUGAAGAGAAUUGCAUUAGCUUCAAUGCCAACUUCCUCAAAUGGUGCUUGCAGGAUGAUGAAUUCUUUACCACCCCUUGAUACGUCUCCGUCGUAUCUACUUCUCCGAACUCUUUUGCCCUUGUUUUGGACCCUAAUUUGCAUGAUUUGAAUGGAACUAACCCGGACUAACGCUGUUUUCAGCAGAAUUGCCAUGGUGUUGUUUUUGCGCAGAAAUAAAAGUUCUCGGAAUGACCUGAAAAUUUAUGAAGAAUUUUUGUGGAAUUUAUGAAAAAUGCGGAAGAAUCAGCGGAGGAAGUGGAGCUGUGAGCCCACAAGCCUACCAGGCGCCUCCCCCUGGCCGCGCCUGGCAGGCUUGUGGGGCCCACAACGCUCCACCUCCUCCAAUCUCAGCUCUAUUUAGUCCGUCUUAUCGAGAAAAAAAUCAAGGAGAAGAGUUCGCCGCGUUUUACGAUACGGAGGCGCCGCCACCUCCUGUUCUUCAUCUGGAGGGCAGAUCUGGAGUCCGUUCUGGGCUCCGGAGAGGGGAAAUCGUCGCCAUCAUCAUCACCAACCUUCCUUCAUCGCCAAUUCCAUGAUGUUCUUCACCGUUCGUGAGUAAUCUCAUCAUAGGCUUGCUGGACGGUGAUGGGUUGGAUGAGAUCUAUCAUGUAAUUGAGUUAGUUUUGACAGGGAUUGAUCCCUGGUAUCCACUAUGUUCGGAGAUUGAUGUUGCUACUACUUUGCCAUGCUUAAUGCUUGUCACUAGGGACCGAGUGCCAUGAUUUCNNNNNNNNNNNNNNNNNNNNNNNNNNNNNNNNNNNNNNNNNNNNNNNNNNNNNNNNNNNNNNNNNNNNNNNNNNNNNNNNNNNNNNNNNNNNNNNNNNNNNNNNNNNNNNNNNNNNNNNNNNNNNNNNNNNNNNNNNNNNNNNNNNNNNNNNNNNNNNNNNNNNNNNNNNNNNNNNNNNNNNNNNNNNNNNNNNNNNNNNNNNNNNNNNNNNNNNNNNNNNNNNNNNNNNNNNNNNNNNNNNNNNNNNCAUUGCUACGUUACUUUGCCGCUACUGUUGUCACUGCUCCUACUGUUACUUUGCUGCUACUGUUGUCACUUUGCUGCUACUGGUUACUGUUGCUACUGCUGCUAUCAUACUACUUUGCUACUGAUACUUUGCUGCAGAUACUAAAUCUUUCAGGUGUGGUUGAAUUGACAACUCAAAUGCUAAUACUUGAGAAUAUUCUUUGGCUUCCCCUUGAGUCGAAUCAAUAAAUUUGGGUUGAAUUCUCUACCCUCGAAAACUGUUGCGAUCCCCUAUACUCGUGGGUUAUCAAGACCUUUUUCUGGCGCCGUUGCCGGGUAAGCACAACUAUAUUCUCUGAGUCACUUGGGAUUUACGUCUGCUGGUCACUAUGAGGAAUCCGAAAGAUCCAAGAACUGAAGUCUUGCCCUCAACUACGAGGACAGGUAAAGAACUGCCAUCUAGCUCUGCACUUGAUUCACCUUCAGUUAUGAGUAAGUUUGCGACACCACCUCGUGCUAGAAAUCUUGAUAUGUCGCCUGUGCUUGAUGAUGCUACUUCUGCUGCCCAUGAUGCUUAUGAUGAUGCUAUGCUUGAUACUGCUUUGCCUGAUGAUGCUAUGCUUGAUACUGCUUUGCCACUAGGUGCAUUCCUUGAUGCACAAAUUGCUAGAGUUGCUGCUAGAUGUGAUGAUACUUCUGAAACUGCUGAUACUAUUGAAGUAGAACCUGCUAUUUUAUCUGCUAGAACUAGCUCUCCUAGACAUGAAUUGCCUGAUAUGCAUGAGUGUUAUGUUAUGGAGGGAGAGAUAGCUGAGUACUUUCUUGCUUGUAAGGAUAGCUAUGAUGUUGAGAAAUUACUGCUCAAGUGGAAAGAAAAAUCUCUGAACGCUAGGAUGAAAUACGACCGGAAGUUUGCUACUUCUCCUAUCUUUGUGACCGAUAAGGAUUAUGAAUUCUCUGUCGACCCCGAGUUAAUCACUCUGGUCGAAUCUAAUCCUUUUCACGGUUAUGAGUCUGAAACGGUUGUAGCCCAUCUUACCAAACUGCACGAUAUAGCCACCCUAUUCACUAGUGAGGAAAAGAUCCGCCACUACUAUAUCCUCAAGCUGUUUCCUUUCUCGCUAAAGGAUGAUGCUAAGACUUGGUUCACCUCUCUUGCUCUUGGUUGUGUGCGUAGCCCCUAGGAUAUGGUCUACUACUUCUCUCAGAAAUAUUUCCCUGCCCAUAAGAAGCAAGCUGCCUUGCAGGAAAUAUACAACUUUGCUCAAGCUGAAGAAGAGAGGCUCCCACAAGCUUGGGGGAGGCUCGUCCAGCUACUGAAUGCUUUGCCAUAUUACCCUCUUGAGAAGAAUGAAAUACUUAAUAUCUUCUAUAAUGGACUUAACGAUGCUUCUAGAGACCACCUAGAUAGUUGUGUUGGUUGUGUUUUUAGGAAACGAACUAUAGAACAAGCUGAGCUCCUAUUGAAUAACAUCUUGUGCAAUGAGAAUGUUUGGACUAUUCCUGAUGCACCUCCUAAGCCAACUCCAAAGAAAAGAGGUAUUCUAUUCCUCAGUCCUGAAGAUAUGCAAGAAGCUAAGAAAUCUAUGUGAGAGAAAGGCAUUAAAUCUAAAGAUGUCAAAAAUCUACCACCUAUCAAAGAGAUCAAUGGUCUUGAUAACCCGAUACAGGUAGUAGAAGUAAAUUCUCUGCGUAGGUUUGAUGAGAGUGAUAUUCCUUUUGAUAAACCUGCUAGCUUCUGCCUGGAUGAAUUUGAUAACUUUGUUGCCAAACAACAAUGUUUCAAUGAUUAUGUUAGCAGACAAUUGGAAUAGAAUGCUCGUAUGCUUAGUUAAGUGCUUGUGUGGACAGAAAUGUCAAUGAUCUUAAGCUCCUGAGUAAACAUGCCUCUAUGGUUACUACUCAGGUAGAACAAGUACUUAAGGCUCAAAAUGACUUGUUCAAUAAGUUGAAUGACAAUUCUGUCAGAGUCGUCACUAGAGGCGGUAGAAUGACCCAAGAACCUUUGUAUCCUGAGGGUCAUCCUAAGAGAAUUGAACAAGAUUCUCAAGGAGUCAGCACUGAUGCACCUAGUCAUCCUAGGAAGAAGAAGAAAGAUGAUAGGAACUUGCACCCUAGCAACCCUGAUGAUGUUACACCUGAGAGUCUAAACGAUGUCUCUGUCUCUGAUGCCAAAACACAAUCUGGUGAUGAACAUGAGCCUAAUGAUAAUAUCAAUAGCGAUGUUCAUGAUGAUGCUCAAUCUAGCAAUGAUAAGGAUGUGGAGAUUGAACCUGCUGAUCUUGAUAACCCAUAGCCUAAGAAUAAGAGAUACGAUAAGAACGACUUCGCUGCUAGGAAGCAUGGUAAAGAAAGGGAACCAUCGGUUCAGAAACCCAUGCCCUUUCCUCCCAAACCAUCCAAGAAAAAGGAUGAUGAGGAUUUUGAGCGAUUUGUUGAAAUGAUUAGACCUGUCUUUCUGCAAAUGCAUUUGACAGAUAUGCUCAAAAUGUCUCCGUAUGCUAAGUACAUGAAAGAUAUUGUUACUAAUAAGAGGAGGAUACCUGAGGUUGAGAUUUCCACCAUGCUUGCUAACUAUACCUUCAAGGGUGGAACUCAUAAGAAACUAGGUGAUCCCGGUGUGCCCACUAUACCUUGCUCCAUUAAAGGAAACUACGUUAGAACUGCUUUAUGCGACCUUGGAGCCGGUGUUAGUGUCAUGCCUCUCUCUCUUUAUCGUAGGCUUGAACUGGAUAAGUUGAUACCUACUGAAAUCUCUCUGCAAAUGGCCGACAAAUCAACUGCUUUCCCUAUCAGCAUUUGCGAGGAUGUGCCUGUUGUGGUUGCUAACGUCACUAUCUUAACAGACUUUGUUAUUCUGGAUAUUCCCGAGGACGAUGCCAUGGCGGUCAUCCUUGGAAGACCCUUUUUAAACACUGCAGGGGCUGUUAUAGAUUGCAACAAAGGCAAUGUCACUUUCCAUGUCAACGGUAAUGAGCAUACGGUGCACUUUCCGAAGAAACAAUAUCGAGUACAUUUCAUCAAUGUUAUCGAAAAGACUUCAUCGAUUCUUAUUGGGAGCUUUGAAUGCCCUAUACCUCCUGUUAAGAUGGAGUAUGAUUUGCUUUUUGGGGAGAUACAUAUCGCCAUUGAGGUGACCUAGUGACUAUUCGAAAAUUCUCCGUUCUCUUUUGCGAUUCAAAAAGGUUUGUCAAGAAGACUUGAUCAACCUCAUUGACGGAUUUCUUUCGAUGACCAUGAGAUGGAUGAAUCGACGACUCACAAACCUCUGUUCCAAGAUUUCACCUUUGGUUGCUUACAAGAAAAAUGAUAGGUUUAGUUUAGUGUUCCCUAUUUUCUGUCUUAGCGUCCCGUAGAAAAGUACCCCGAAAAUAGAAGUUCUCCGAACGUCCUGAAAAUCAAGUAUGAUUUUUUCUGGAAUUUUUGAAAAGUACUAAGUCGAAGAGCUAGUCUGGGGGUUGCACCAGUGGGCCAUAAGCCCUGGAGGCGCGGGCACCCCCCUGGCCGCACCUACCAGGCUUGUGGGGCCCACGUGCACCCCCGCCACUCAUUCUAGCUCCCAUCUGCUUCUCCUACCUCCAGAAAAAAUCAUUUCGCAGCUCAAACCCGUGUUCUUGCUCUUCUUGCUGGGAUUUUCGAUCUCCUUGCUCAAAGCACCAUUCUCUGAACUGUUUUCGGGAAAUUACCCCUUGGUAAGUGACUCCUCCAUUGGUCCAAUUAGUUUUUGCUCUAGUGCCUUAUACAUCGCGUAUUUUUGCUGCCUUGGUGACCCUGUUCUUGAGCUUUGCAUGCUAAUUUUAGCUGGUCCCAAUUAGUUUUGAUGUGUAAUAUGGUCUCUAGGCACUUGUCGGAGUAGUUGCUACUAGUUUCGUUGAGCCUUGUUCACUUUUCCUCAGAAUCACUAAAAUUUCAGAAAUUUGCAAAGAUAGAAAAGGGAAAAGAUGAGGAGGUUAGAGGCUCUUCAAGCCGUGACCCCAAGGAUGAUGGAAGUGAGAAGAAGCCCAAGUAUCCGGUCCCUCGAGUUGCAGAAGUUCGAGCGUGCGAGUGGCCAAGCGAUGUGUUCUUGCGCACUGCCGGACUUUAUGAGGACUUUUAUUACUUGGUGGAGAACGCAGGCCUUAACGCCUUCGUUGAAGAUAAGUGUCUGCAAUACCUCCUCCUCACUAAUAUCUUCAUACAAAGCUUUAACUUCUAUCCGAGGAAGAAUCCUCCUAUGGUUGAGUUCAAAUUAUAUGAUACCCCCCAGCGCAUGUCACUCCAGGAUUUUUGCAAUGUUUGCAAAUUUCCUUUUGUUGGGAAUAUUCAUGAACCUCGUCCACGGGACUUCGAGGCUUUCAUAGAUACUAUUGAUGUAGGAGAGGAGAGAGGAGUGUCUUGCGCUAGAGCUGCUAGCAUACAUUUUCCCGUGCUUCGGUACUUCUCACUAUUCGUGGGAAAAUGUUUGAUUGGUCGUGGGAAAGAUGGGACCCUUAGCUCCCCAGAUCUUGCAGUCUUGCGCGAAGCCCUUUAUAAUGAUAAAACUUAUAGCUUGGGCGCUAUAGUAGCUCAACGGUUGAACAAGAACCGUUCUAAAGGCGUUGUCUAUGGAGGUAUCUAUGCUACCCGUCUUGCUAGACAUUUUGAGAUACCUAUUAGACUGGACGAGGAAGAAGAGAUUCUUCUUCCCGAGAGAUAUCUAGAUUAUGAUAGCAUGGUUCGCCAUGACUUUCAUGAUAGAGAUAUAAAUAGAAGGCUGAUUUAUAACCUGGUAUUCAGUCAGGGUACUCGUGAGACUAUUACUUUGCCUGCUCCUUCUUUGUUCAAUCUUCAUGCAGGCAGAUACAUUAUUAUGCCCUCGGACAUCUACGCAUAUUGGGGCUUAGCCCAACCACAGGUGGCCGUGCCCGAGCCACCAGUCGAGUACCACACGCCAGUUUAUCAGUGGGAGCCAGAGGAGCUCACACAGCAGUGGCAUCCUUAGUCUACUCCAGAGUACCCCGAAGCUUGUUAUUUCCCUCCUUGGGAGUAGACCAAAUUAGGCCAAAAGCCUAAGCUUGGGGGAGUACGUGUUUCUCACCGACUUUAUACUCUUGCUUAUGCUUUCACUUUGUUAGUCGGUGUUCACACUUUGCCACUGUAUCAUCCAUGCUAGUUUAUUUCUUUUUCUCGUUUUCUUUUCGUGUGUCUGUCUAGUUUGAGAAAACCCAAAAAGAUUUUCUUUUCUUCUUUUGCUUGUUGGGAGCUUUCCUGUGUAAAUUAUUUUCUUUUUCUUUGGGUCAAGGUAGAAGACCAUGGUUACAAUGUUUAGUGGCUCUCGCAUGCAUAUCUGUUUAUCUGUUAAAGAGCCAUAUUACUUUGUCUUCUCCUUUGUGUUUGCCUGCAGAUUCCAGCGUAGUCCAAUGCACGAGCACUCUUAUUAUUGUUCACAUCGUUCGGAUGUGCAAGUGAAAGGCAAUAAUGACGAUAUAUGAUGAAGUUAGUGAGCCUGGAAAAGCUGGUAUGAACUCGAUCUAUUUUGUUUUUGUAAAUAUGACUAGCUCAUUAUUCCUAGUUCAGUUUUAUUGUGAGAGAAACAUGUUUUCAAUGACAACUUAGAGAUCAUAGUUGUUGAUGCCAUGCUUACUUAGCUAGGAGCUUAUAAUGGUUUGUCUUGGAUGCCCACAUGAAUGUUUUGAUGACUAUGAUGUAGUAUGAUAGGAUGGUAUCCUCCUUUGAAUGAUUCAAGUGGCUUGACUUGGUGCAUGUUCACGCAUGUAGUUGAAACAAAAUCAACAUAGCCUCUAUGAUGUUCAUGUUCAUGGUGAUUUAUGUCCUACUCAUGCUUGCACUCAAUGUUAGUUAAUCUCAAUGCAUUUUGAUAACUGUUGUCGCUCUCUACUUGGUCGCUUCCCAGUCUUUUGCUAGCCUUCACUUGUACUAAGCGGGAAUACUGCUUGUGCAUCCACUUCCAUAAACCCAAAGUUGUUCCAUAUGAGUCCACCAUACCUACCUAUAUACGGUAUCUACCUGCCGUUCCAAGUAAAUUUGCAUGUGCCACUCUCUAAACCUUCAAGAAAUAAUAUGUUUUGCAUGCCCGAACCGCUCAUGUGGUGACAGGGGGCUAUCAGUAUCUUCCAUGCUAGGCGUGUUAUCCUCGAUAUGUGUUUAUUCACUAUCAUUCACGAGAAACGGGCCGAUAAUUGGAAUGCCCAGUUCCAUGCUCAAAUCGAAAAGAUAAUUGCAAACAAACCCCCCCCCCUAGAUUGAUGUUGGUAUGGACGGCACCCGAGGAUUCGACUAGUCGUGGAAUGUGAUUGAUUGGUGGUGGGGGAGUCAAAACUUUACUUUUCUGUUUGGGAACCGCCUAUAGCAUGUGUAGCAUGGAAGAUGGUGAGAACUCUUAGUCAUUUCGUUGACAUUGAAAGCAUGCCACCCAAAAUUAUUAUCUCUGUUUUCAAAAUCCUGAGCUCUGGCACCUCUGCAAAUCAAUGCUUCCCUCUGCGAAGGGCCUGUCUAGUUAUGUUCCUGUUGAGUCAUCCUCCUCUUAUAAAAGCACCAAUUAGAGAGCACAUCUUUCAUUUUAAUGCUUUGCUUUUAACUAUGUUGAGUAUGACUGUGACUGGAUCUUCUUUGCCAUGAAUUAAAAUGUUUAGUCGGCCCUUGGCCUUUGAAGGUGCUCUGCAUUUAUGUUUUGCGGUCUCAGAAAGAGCUAGCGAGAUACGAUCUGUUCGUACUGCUUCAUGAUUGUUUUGAUUGAAGUGUUGACGUUUGAGACUUAUUACUAUUUGCUCGCUAGUUGAUUAUGUCAUUGAUAUGAGUUUACCGUGAGACCUAGAUGUCAUUUGCUUAUGUGGUUUGCUUGUGAUCUUGCUGAAAUUCUGGUUAUGAGUUAGACAUAGUUGCAACAACAAGAUCAAACAGAGUUCGUAAAAGUUUUUCUUUUGUCUCUGUCAGUUUGUCAACUGAAUUGCUUGAGGAUAAGAAAGGCUUUAAGCUUCGGGGAGUUGAUACGUCUCCGUCGUAUCUACUUUUUCGAACUCUUUUGCCCUUGUUUUGGACUCUAAUUUGCAUGAUUUGAAUGGAACUAACCCGGACUAACGUUGUUUUCAGCAGAAUUGCCAUGGUGUUGCUUUCGCGCGGAAAUAAAAGUUCUCGGAAUGACCUGAAAAUUUGCGGAGAAUUUUUGUGGAAUUUAUGAAAAAUACAAGCGCAAGAAUCAGCAGAGGAAGUGGAGGUGUGAGCCCACAAGCCCACCAGGCGCCCCCCCCCACCCCCUUGUCACGCCUGGCAGGCUUGUGGGGCGCACAACACUCCACCGCCUCCAAUCUCAGCUCUAUUUAGUCCGUCUCGCCCGAAAAAAAUCAAGGAGAAGAGUUCAUCGCGUUUUACGAUACGGAGGCGUCGCGACCUCCGGUUCUUCAUCUGGAGGGCAGAUAUGGAUUCUGUUCUGGGCUCCGGAGAGGGGAAAUCGUCGCCAUCGUCAUCACCAACCUUCCUUCAUCGCCAAUUCCAAGAUGCUCUUCACCGUUCGUGAGUAAUCUCAUCGUAGGCUUGUUGGACGGUGAUGGGUUGGAUGAGAUCUCUCGUGUAAUCGAGUUAGUUUUGACGGGGAUUGAUCCCUAGUAUCCACUAUGUUCUGAGAUUGAUGUUGCUACUACUUUGCCAUGCUUAAUGCUUGUCACUAAGGCCCGAGUGCCAUGAUUUCNCAUUGCUACGUUACUUUUGCCGCUACUGUUGUCACUGCUCCUACUGUUACUGUAUUGCUACUGCUGUUACUUUGCUGCUACUGUUGUCACUUUGCUGCUACUGGUUACUGUUGCUACUGCUGCUAUCAUACUACUUUGCUACUGAUACUUUUCUGCAGAUACUAAAUCUUUCUAGUGUGGUUGAAUUGACAACUCAACUUCUAACACUUGAGAAUAUUCUUUGGCUUCCCCUUGAGUCGAAUCAAUAAAUUUGGGUUGAAUACUCUACCCUCGAAAACUGUUGCGAUCCCCUAUACUUGUGGGUUAUCACCCCUUCAGAUGUGGGUGGUGAAGAAAUUGAACUAAUCACUUCUGCAGGACACGUUUCCACAUGAAAAUCAUCAUCUGAAGAAUUUACUGGAGACGUGAGGAAAAUUCUUGAUAGGACGCAACCUAACAUUGAUGAAAUGAAAAACAGAAGGGUGGUUGUGGCAUCGAAGACUUGGUCAUGCGGGCAUGAGGAAUUUGCACACGCUGGCGAAGAAGAAGCAUGUCAUUGGCAUCGAAUUAGUCAAAUUCCUCAAGGACCACCUCUACGGUGCUUGUGAGUCUGGAAAAAUGACCAGAUCCAAACACCCCUCGAAGACUAUCAUGACCACUACUCGUCCAUUCGAAUUGCUACACAUGGAUCUAUUUGGACCUACUCAUUAUGCCACUCUAACAAAUUCAGCAUCUCUAUACGGCUUUUUUAUAGUUGAUGAUUACUCUAGAUAUACUUGGUUGCACAUCAUUCUGUAUAAAACUGAAGUGCAGGAAGUCUUCAAACGAUUUUCCUCAAGGGCCUCGAUGAACUUCGGCAUCAAGAUCAAACACAUCAGGAGUGAUAAUGGAACAUAAUUCAAAAACACUGGUCUUGAUGAUUGUCUUGAUGAACUUGGUAUUACUCACGAAUUGUCUGCUCCUUAUACUCCUCAACAGAAUGGCGUCGUCGAAAGAAAGAACAGGACUCUGGUUGAAAUGGCACGGACCAUGCUAGAAGAAUAUCAGACUCCUCGUCGUUUCUGCCUGAAGCAAUCAACACUGCUUGCCAUAUCAUCAACAGGGUAUAUCUUCAGAAAUUCCUCAAGAAAACCUCAUAUGAACUCCUCACUGACAAGUAACCCAAUGUAAGUUAUUUCAAAGUCUUCGGUGCAAAAUGCUGGAUUAGAGAUCCUCCCCAUAGAUCAAAAUUUGCACCUAAGGCACAUGAGGGUUUUAUGCUUGGUUACGGAAAGGACUCGCACACCUACAGAGUCCUCAACACCUAUCACAACAAGGUUGUUGAAACUGUAGAUGUGCGGUUUGAUGAAACUAAUGGCUCGCAAAGAGAGCGAUUGCCUCCUGAACCAGAUAAGUUGUCUCCUGAGGAAGCAAUAAAGCUCAAAGCUACUGAAGACAUUGUUCCUACUAAGGAAAUUGCUGAAGAAACUCCCAGCACUGAUGAAAAUCAAGAAGAUGCUCCUGAGGAAAUUGCUCAAGAACAAAUACCUCAGCCCAGACGAAAUCCUCAACCAGCUCAUCCGAGGAUUGCAAAUGAAGUAGAACUUGACAAUAUCCUCGAUGACAUUAACGCGUCAGGUCCUCUCAAACGCUCUAAAGCUUCACACUUAGUUAACUUUUGUGGGCAUUCUUCUUUUGUGUCUAUCACAGAACCUUCAAAAGUUGCUGAGGCUUUCAUGGAACCUGAGUGGAUUCAAGCCAUGCAAGAUGAACUUCUUCAAUUGAAGUUAAAUGACAUGUGCGAGCUCAUCAAACGACCAGAUCCUCGCAAGCACAAUAUCAUCGGGACCAAGUGGAUUUUCCGAAACAAGCAAGAUGAUGAUGUCAAGUGGUGAGGAAUAAGUCAUGACUUGUAUACCAAGGCUACACACAGGUUGAAGGAAUUGAUUUCGAUGAAACUUUUGCACCUGUUGCUAGACUUGAGGCUAUUCGAAUACUACUUGCUUAUGCUAAUCAUCAUAACAUUACCUUAUAUCAAAUGGAUGUGAAAAGUGCAUUCCUCAAUGGUAAAAUUGAGGAAGAAGUAUAUGUUGCUCAGCCCCGAGGUUCUGAGGAUCCGAAGAAUCCAGACAAAGUCUUCAGACUCAAAAAGGCUCUCUAUGGCCUCAAGCAAGCCCCUCGGGCGUGGUACGAUACAUUGAAGGAAUUCCUCAUGAAGAAAGGCUUCAAACCUGGUUCACUCGAUCCAACUCUUUUUACAAAAUCCUAUGACAAUGAACUAUUUGUGUGCCAAAUAUAUGUCGAUGACAUCAUAUUUGGCUGUACUGACAAACGUUACAGUGAUGAAUUUGCUUACAUGAUGAGUGAAGAAUAUCAUAUGUCCAUGAUGGGGGAGCUGAAAUUCUUCUUCGGUCUUCAAAUUCGUCAACAACGCAAUGGCAAUUUCAUAUCACACGAGAAAUACCUCAAGGAUGUUCUGAGGAAAUUCGACAUGCAUGAAUGCAAAGGCGCCAAGACUCCUAUGCCUACCAACGGCCACCUCUGCUGACGGAAAUGGUAAAGAAUUCAAUCAGUAGGUAUAUCGCUCAAUGAUUGGCUCAUUACUGUAUUUAUGUGCAUCUAGACCAGAUAUAAUGCUUAGUGUUUGCACGUGUGCACGUUUUCAAGCAAAACCGAAGGAAUCACACCAUAAGGUUGUGAAUCAUAUUCUUCGAUACUUAACUCACACACCAACAGUAGGAUUAUGGUACCCCAAGGGCUCAAAUCUUCAUCUUGUGGGAUAUUCUAAUUCUGACUAUGCUCGUGACUGUGUGGAUCGCAAGUCAACUUCUGGCACUUGUCAUUUCCUCGAACUAUCAUUAGUGUGCUGGUCCUCAAAGAAGCAGAAUUGCGUUUAUCUCUCCACUGCCGAAGCUGAGUACAUUGCUGCUGGAUCAUGUGCUCAAUUGCUAUGGAUGAUGCAAACCCUCAAGGACUACGACAUCUACAGGAAGAAUGUGCCUCUCUAUUGUGACAAUGAGAGUGCAAUCAAGAUUGCAUACAACCCAGUACAACACUCGAAGACUAAGCACAUCUAGAUUCGUCAUCAUUUUCUUCGGGACCAUGUCUUCAAGGGCAAUAUCAUCAUCGACCAUGUGAAGACUGACGAUCAAGUAGCUGAUAUCUUCACUAAGCCCUUGGAUGAGAGGUUUUGCAAGUUGCGGUGUGAGUAAAUAUCUUAGAAUAUUCAAAUGUUUUGUAAAAACAUGCACACAUCCUAACACUUACGCAAAAUUGAUGACUUAGAUGUGCAACACACGAAGAAUAUCACUCUUAGUGUGAAGAAAUUAAUGAAGAAUUUGGUUCUCACAGCCCUACGACAAUUGUACGCGACACCUAAAAUCAUCAUUCUUAUACAGUGGGUCACGCCACCACCCAACUUUGAAAUUCCUCAAGUUGUUUUUCUUCAAAGUUGUUUUUCCUCAAGUUGUUUUUCUUCAAUGUUGAAAUUCAUCAACGUGACGCUUUGUCACAAAAUCCUCAAGNNNNNNNNNNNNNNNNNNNNNNNNNNNNNNNNNNNNNNNNNNNNNNNNNNNNNNNNNNNNNNNNNNNNNNNNNNNNNNNNNNNNNNNNNNNNNNNNNNNNNNNNNNNNNNNNNNNNNNNNNNNNNNNNNNNNNNNNNNNNNNNNNNNNNNNNNNNNNNNNNNNNNNNNNNNNNNNNNNNNNNNNNNNNNNNNNNNNNNNNNNNNNNNNNNNNNNNNNNNNNNNNNNNNNNNNNNNNNNNNNNNNNNNNNNNNNNNNNNNNNNNNNNNNNNNNNNNNNNNNNNNNNNNNNNNNNNNNNUUUCAAUUUCUUCAAAAUGUUUGAUGAUUUUCAUUUGCAUAUAUAUACAUAUAUAGACUGAGAUUUCAAAGUCCUCAACAGCAUUCAAUAAUAGAUAUUUCUUUAAUUUAAUAUUUCAUCUAAGUGAAUGUGAUUGGACCCUACUCCCCUCUAUGCUAUUCUCACUGAGUCUAUUCAAUUCUUCACAUGCGUUCUACUUGAAACUUUAUUCAAAAUCCUCACUGUGUCCUUGUCAGCUCAUGAUUUUGCAACGAAAUCCUCAAAUCUUCAAAAAUCAUUUUUAUAUUGUUACACAGUAACUGAACCCCACUUCCCACGAUCAGAUAAGCACGAUCUCCACCGCUUUAAACUUUGGCUACACAUGUCGUGCGGAGACGAAUAGGCAAGGGCAGUUCGGUCCGAACGUAUCGGCUGGACAGUUUUCACCUGAGCUAUAAAUACGCCCUUACCCCUUCUGUCCAAACUCUUCGUUCUCUCUCGACCUUCUCUCCGCCAAAAGCAAAACCUAGCGCCACCGCUAGAAAUCUCGUCGCCAGCGAGGAACAGCUUCACUGCCUCGACCUCUCCGUCGCCGAGCUCACGCCGGAAGUGGAACAUCUUCAUCCGCCGCUGUCGUAACCGUCUUCUACCACCAAGUUAGGGAGCAGUGGACUCGAACCGAAGAGCAUCCACUGUUGCUGUCUAUGUUCUUCGUGCUUGUCAUAUAGGGUAAAAAAGUCCUAUUUUAAUGUCCCUUUCGAUCUACUAUUUUACCUUAGAUUCGAGAAAUCUGUUUUUCCUUAGUGUCUAUCAGCCUCGCACACUCUAUUCCUCAAAAACUUGAUGAAUUUCACUAAGCCACUAAAAUUCUUCAGGUGAUUCCUCAAUUGUGCAAAUUUUCGAAUCUGUACAACUCUCGAACCCAAGAUCAGAGUGCUUAGACAAAUUCCUUAACCAACUGGUCAAAUUCCUCAACUUUUAAAAUUUCAAUUUCUUCAAAUUUGAGAACGCAUAUGACCUCUCCAAAUUCCUGGCACCUAUAUUCUAUUCACACAUACAAAAUGUCAGUUGAUGAAUCUAUAGGUUCUUGUCAACUUAACUCAUUUGCAGCAUUCCUCGAAGAAACUUUGCAGUGUCAUCAGAAUCCUCAAGAGUGCAAAUUCCUCAGCAAAAGCCUCAGCUGAAGAAAAUGGAAGAUGGUAGAAAGCAAAAGGGUGGCAAGAAACUUGAACAGAACACUGUAAUUGACAUCCCUAAGGAUAUAUACCUUGACUAUUGCACGCCAGAUGAGCAAGAACCAAUGGAAAAAAAGGAAAAUUAGGCUUCAAAAGAUAGAAUGCAGGUGGGCUAAGGAGUGGAAGGAAUAUCGCUUCGUCACUCCAAAGUAUGCGAAGAAAUUCGCUCUCAAGCCACCUGGCAAAAGGCCUCCUCUCGAGGAUCAUCAGGUUGCACAUCCUUCAAGCAUCAAACCUAUCGAUGAUUAUCCUGAGGAGAAAGACAAACACUUGUCUAAGUUUCAUAAGAAAGUAGAAGCUGCAGUGAGGAAAUUCAAUGAGGAAUCUGUGCUGCCACUGCAGCCACCUCUUCUGCUGCUGAAGCUUCUGGCACAGCUAUUCCUCAAGUGAAGUCUGUGCCACAGAAACCAAAGGCUUCAAAGCAUAAAGAGCAAUUGCUUCAGAAGGCUGCGCGUGCGCCAAAACCCUCAACAGCUACACAGGCUUCAAAGCCUGAACACAAGCAGAUUGUCAAACAACAGCCUGCUCACUCCAGCUCCUUUGUACCAUCUGCCACGAGCUCAGAGACAAAGUCUUCACCAACACCAUUGAAGACUAAAAUGACUGCUGGAAGAGGCAUCAGACCCAGCCCAAGCAAAGUCAUCAGAGUCCCUUUUGCAUCAGAAGGAAGUGAUGAAUUUGAUGAUCAAACACUUCAAGCCAUCAUCCGAAACAAGCAGACACGCGUCGCACAAGCUUCAGGCAGCGCUAUUCCUCUUGCCAUGGACCCAAAGGUCCUAUUUGACUACAUCAAUGGCUGGUAUGAUGACCCUAACACACCCAUUAAUGACUUGAAGCUUCCCCCUGGUAUCAGACAUAUGGUGGCCACAUUCAUCAAUGAGGCCAAAUGGAAGGAGACGCAAGCCAAGCAAGCAAAGGCUGCAAAGCUGAAGAAGGAGAAAUUCCUCAAGCAGAAUCUCCUCAACCUGUCGCCUGAUGAUCUUGUGUCAACCCAGGCUAAGCUGAAGACUUUGACCGACAAGUAUACCAAACUAUCUGAUCGUCAAAGUCUCAAGUCCAAUUUCAUCAAGUUUGCAACCAAUGAAGUUGAUGAAUACAACAAGAAGGCUGCUCCUCCAGCAAAACCAAAGCAGCCUGAGCCCAGCUAUUCUGUUCAGCUCACUGAGGAAGAUGAAAAAGAAGAACCCCCUGCUGAGGAAAUGCCUCAAGAAAGUCAUGUUGAUGAACCGAUUAUUGAGGAAAUAUCCAAGGACAUUCCAGCUGAUGAAUCUGCUCCAGCUAAAGAAAAUGCUUCAGCUGAGGAAACUGUCAGGACUGAUACUGCACCAGUUCCAGAAGAGAAAAUUCCUUCACCUCAAUCCUCACAGGUGAAGAAAAUAGUUGAGACGUGAAGAAAACCAAGGCUGCUGAGAAAGAAGCUAAGAAAAGAAAAGUUUCUUUAACACCCAGAAUCAUCAGAGGCCAAGCGCCUCAAUACACUUGAAGAAACUGCUUCACUGGAUGGUGUGCCCUGAAGAUAGCUCCAUCAUACACUAUGAUCCCCUUCGGAAUUGACUAUGUCAUUCCUGAAGAAGAUGAGGAGAUUCUGAUUGAUGAGGAAAUGAAAGACGUUGAUUCUGACGAAACCAUGGAUGAGGAAAUUCAAAUUGAUGAUAUUCCUCAAUCCUUCAUUCCUCACAAGACGCCUGAUGAACCUGCUCAAGGAUCAGCUGCAACAGCUGAAGAUUUUGCCUCCUCCUCCAAGCAAAUUCCUCAAGCUGAGGAAAACCCAGAAGAAAAUCCUCAGCCCGAGGAAAAUACUCAACCUAAAGCAAAUCCUCAACCUGAGGUUCAAGCUGAAGAAAAUCCUCAACCUGAGGAACGUGCUAAAGAAAAUGCUCCCAAUAUUGAAACUGCUAUUGUUGUGGUCAACACUAAAACAACAAUGAUCGUACCUCCUCAACGAAAGCAACAUAACCUUCAGCCAGUGCAAAAUCAGCCUUUUUCAAAAAGGCCAAAGUUUCAGAAGGAAGCGUUCUAUGAAGAACGGAUGUAUUUCAUCGGCGACAAUCCUUAUGACAAGUUUCGCAUCAGGCACACGAAGUUUUGGACAAGGACUCAGCUCAACUACUAUGCAUCUGUGCUCUGUGGAAGAAAUAAAAUAUUUCAGCACAGGCAUAUUCCUCAUGUUGAGUUGGAAGAAAUUCCUUGCUUCGCCCCAGUCCUCAACGUUCUUCAUGAAGCCGGAUUGCCGCCUCUCUGCACUGAUAUCUGUGAUUGGAACAGUGAUAUCAUUCUUCAAUUCUAUGCAACUUUGCACAUCUCUAGAGACCCGAAGGAUAUCAACACUUGGGUGCUGGACUGGAUGACACAACACACACAUUACAAAGCCCCUGCUACUGAGCUGCUGCGAGUGCUUCCGGUUUCAAUUCCCUGAGAACAUGAUGUGAUGAUGUAUGAUGAACAGGAGUUGCCCAACAAGCUGAUGGAAAUCCUCAUGAAGCCUUUGGCCAAGGAUCAGCCUCCAAGAACGACUUUUCUGGUUCAAGACUUGAAGUUUGAACCGAGGACUGUCUACAGGAUUCUGUGCAGUGCCAUCGCUCCAAUCAAGAGCCAUGAUGAUGAAGAAUAUGUUGUAGGCAUCAUGAAGAAUAUCCUCUUCAACAUCAUCCAUGGCAUCCUAGUAAACCUUCACGACUUCUUCUCGAGGACUCUGGCUGACAAUGCUAUGUCACCCUUCGACCUAAAUAUUUACGCUCCAUGGAUAAUGAGAUUCAUUAGAUGCAGGUCAGGCAUCAACUAUCAUGUUGAUUUCAACAACCAGAUUGGAUAUAUGCCUCCUAUCAGAGUCAACAACAAGACUUUUGAGCCUGUUGAAGGAAAAGGAAAAUAUGUCAUCGAUGAAGGUAGUCGGCCCCUUGAUGGCCAGUUUCGUGAACCAGAUGCAUAUUCUUCAUGGGAUGAUACUGAAACUGAGGAGCCACCUAGCCCAGUUGCUCCAAGGGUGAUGACUAACAAAGAACUACUCCUUAGUCUUCAUCAGAAGGUCGAUCGCAAUCACAAAUGGGUCAAACGUCAAUUCAGUGCCAUUGUGAAAACCCUCAAUGAGACUCAGAAUGCAGUGAAGAAAAAUCACUACUAUCUUAAUGAGGUUUUUGAUCGCACCUGGGCCACUUUGGCUCAUCUGAAGACUCAAGAAGAACUUGAUGAAUUGGAAUUUACUCAGGACUUCGACUGGUCGUGGCCUCCCAAGAGGAAAUUCAAGCCAAUCCCAGUUCCAGACCUUGAGGACAACUCCUUUGCUUCAUUAUGCACUGCAGAAUAUGAUGAAGAACAAGAAGACACUGCCACUAGCCCAAGGAGGAAGCCCGUCGCCAAGAAUCCUCACGCGUCUUCUUCAUCAGCCAAGAAGUGAAAGUCUUUAAGGGGCGUUAGUCCUUAGUUUUGUCCCUUUUUCAUCACUUGAUGACAAAGGGGGGAAAUCUGAGAGUUAGUCUUCAUGCGGGAUAUAUUUUGGGGCUUAUGAACUUUAUUAAGUUACAAACUCUUGGUUCUUCUGAAGUGUUUUAUGUAAUGAUUUGUAACUUAAGCCCGAUGGUACUCUGGCGCUUUUGAACGUUUUUCUUCGCAUGCUUAUUCCUCAAAAUAUUAAUGCACGCAUGCUGAAAUUCGUCAGAUACCAUUUCUCAUCAUGCAUUCUCCAAUUCUUCAUAUUAUAUGUGAUAUGUAUGCAUGAUUUACAAGGUUCACGGGGGAUCUCCAUGAUAUAAAUCAUCAAUGUGCAUUUGCUGUGCAAAGAAAAAUCCUCAAGAUAUGCACAUCUUCAAGGGGAGUCUCUCUGUAUCUUGAUUUCAAAUUCCUCAAAUGAGUAUUUACACUUCAUAUUUUUAUCCCCGUUGAAGACUUAACCUAAUUUUCAUCAACCACCAAAAAGGGGGAGAUUAUAAGCGCAUCUAGUGCCCCUUAGUGAUUUUGGUGGUUUGAAGACUUAUAGGUUAAGUAUCUAAUGUGUUCAUGAGUGUACACAGGAUCUAUAAGUCGCUGAGGAUUUGAAAUAUUCGAUGAAUAUCGACCCCUAAAAAUGUAUAUCUUUGGCUGUAGAAAUUGGUCUUCUGCCGAAGACUUUGAUCGCGAAGAAAUUGCGAUGAAAUUGAUAUUCCUCAUGAAGAUAUUGAAGAUGAGGAAUUCGGUGUGUCCUGAAGAAAAUCAAUCCGAAGGCUUUGAAGCGUGAAGAUUUAUUCUUUCUGUUUCAUUUUCUUCACUCUUGAGUCAUAGGAACACCAUACUGUUAAUGGAGGUCGAGGUAACACUUCAGAAUGAAUUUCCUCAUGAUGCUCAACCCAAGCCUAAUCCUACCAAAAGCCUCAAGUGAGGAAUAUGAGAGACAUGAGGACUCCCACAGUUGAGGGUCCCGACCGUUGCGCAAUUCGCGCCACAUCACCAAUCUUAUCCACACCAACGGUCAUAUUAUUUAAGGGCAUUAAUGUCAAAUCAUGUCGGGAUGAUCCCUGGCAAUAACUAACCGCCCCCACAACCAUUAGCUGGUUGGGUGCUCCGCAAGAAACUGACACUUGUCAUUUAGAGCAACCCAAAUUCCUCAGAGAGUUCGAGAGUAANNNNNNNNNNNNNNNNNNNNNNNNNNNNNNNNNNNNNNNNNNNNNNNNNNNNNNNNNNNNNNNNNNNNNNNNNNNNNNNNNNNNNNNNNNNNNNNNNNNNNNNNNNNNNNNNNNNNNNNNNNNNNNNNNNNNNNNNNNNNNNNNNNNNNNNNNNNNNNNNNNNNNNNNNNNNNNNNNNNNNNNNNNNNNNNNNNNNNNNNNNNNNNNNNNNNNNNNNNNNNNNNNNNNNNNNNNNNNNNNNNNNNNNNNNNNNNNNNNNNNNNNNNNNNNNNNNNNNNNNNNNNNNNNNNNNNNNNNNNNNNNNNNNNNNNNNNNNNNNNNNNNNNNNNNNNNNNNNNNNNNNNNNNNNNNNNNNNNNNNNNNNNNNNNNNNNNNNNNNNNNNNNNNNNNNNNNNNNNNNNNNNNNCUAAUUUAGCUUACUACAUCAUUUAGGAGGAAACUAAGCUAAGUAUAUGUCAUUUUGGAGCUACUUAGGUAAAAAUAGGUCAUUUAGGGGCUAAUUAUGCUUAUUAUGCCAUUUUGGAGCUAACUAAGCUAACUAUAGGCCAUUUAAUAGCUAACUUAGGUAAAAUAGGUCAUUGUGUAGCUACGUAAGCAUAUUAUGUCAUUUAGGAGAUAACUUAGCUAAGUAUAGGUAAUUUUUUAUUAAAUAGGCUAUUUCGGAACUAAUUUAGCUUACUACAUCAUCUAGGAGGAAAGGUAAGCUAUGUAUAUGUCAUUUUGGCGCUACUUAGGUAAAAUAGGUCAUUUAGGAGCUAACUAUGCUUAUUAUGCCAUUUUGGAGCUAACUAAGCUAAUUAUAGGCCAAUUAAUAGCUAAGUUAGGAAAAAUAGGUCAUCUUGGAGCUACAUAAGCUUAUUAUGUCAUUUAGGAGAGAACUUAGCUAACUAUAUGUCAUUUUUUAUUAAAUAGGCCAUUUCGGGGCUAAUUUGGCAUACAACAAAAUAGUGCCUUCAUUACAAAGAUUGUCAAGAAAUAUAUGGAGCAUGACAUGGUAAUAUCCGUAUCCAUAAUUUUCAUGUUCAUGUUUCAAUCAAUAUUUAUUUUUAUUUUCCUAAUUAUCUUUAUUACAGAUUGAACUUCCAAUAAAUACCAGCAAGACACAUUGGUAUUUAGCUAUUUUAAAUUCCAAAAAAACAUGAGAUUCAAGUACUGGACUCAUUGUGUUGGAAGUUUGACCGAGAUGAUCUCUCUAUUACGGUUAGUUACAUCAUCAGUUUUAAUCCUACAUGUAAAUGACAUAAAUUCAUACAUUGUUAAUGUUUAUCUUUUCUGAUCACUAAAUCUUUUUCAGCUACGAGGAAUACAAUUUCAUUUGGACCUUAUUAAAAGUCAAAACUUGAUUAACGAGGAUUGGAAAGAGGUUGAUCUUAGUGAAUGGAAGAUCACAAAACAAUUUCAAAAGCCAGUUCAAAAAGACAGUUCUUCAUGUGGUUUAUUUAUGGUCAAAUUUAUGGAAUAUUUCACCGGAAGUGCACUAUCAUACGCAAUUACACAGGUAUAUCUCUUUUUGUUUAAUAGAAAGUAUAUCAAUUUUACAUAAAGUAUGUCAAUUUUUGAAAAUAUACUAAUAAUUGUUUAUAUUGCACAGGAAAUGAUUACUUCAUUUAGGUUUAAGUUAGCCAGCAUACCAUUAUGUUGGAAACAAACACUGCAUCAAUCACUACAAUCGUUGAAGAAACUAAUGAUGACACCAAUGGAGAUCGUGAUGAUGUUCAAAUAUUGGAAAGUCUAGAUGAUAUAAAAAACUAAAAACAAAAAAUCCCAUUAUCGGUUGAAAUGAAAUACAGAUCACUGAUAUCUAUUCUUUCUAAUAUGAGCUUACAUGAGUUAACAUCUGGACGUUGUAGCUUCAUUAAAUCCAUCAAUUACACCGAGAUUUUAGAGUAAGUCAUUUCUAAUUAGUAAUAAAAUUGUACAAUAUCUUACUUAUUUUCUUAAUGAUUCAUUAUCUUAAUUUUUUCCAUUACCGGGAAAGUAUGGAUCCAAAGUUCAAAGUGAUAUCCAAUAAGCUUGUCUCUCAGAAAACUACAAGGAAUGAUAAAUGAUGAUUUACCUAUGGACCAAGAUUGCUUUAAUUUGGUCAUACGGAAGUUUAUGUUUGAUGACAUCCAAACGGCACAAAAAACAAAACAAUUGAUAGCAAAACAUUAUAUGGACAUGAAAUUUUGGGUACGUUCUUAAAUUCAUUAUUUACUUUUUUCUAUAUUCUUAUUUUUUAAUCACUUUUCUAAUCAAUUAUUUUUAUGUGCUAGAUGACUACUAAUUUUGGACGGCACCCAGAUUUUCGUAAAAAGUUAGAUGUCGAACAACUAGCAAAUUUUGUUCAUAGUUGGCCUGGUAUCAAAUAUAAUGUUUCAAAAUGCAAAUCGGUAAGAGCACUUUUGUAUAGUUUGGACCACACAUUUUUUUAUUACACAUCUAAUAUAUGUAUCUUAUUUUAGAUCCAUAUUCCAGUACAAUCCAACAAUGAUUUCAUUCUAUUCACAUUGGACAAAGAUACCAGAACAGUGUAUAUUUUGGACCCUGCUCCUAUUAAUCCCAUUUACAGAUGCAACCCACUCGCAAAAUAUGUGCACAAAAUUAUAUGGAUUGCAGAACACUUACCAAAAGCAAUGUCAAAGGCAUGCCCUGGGUCUAGAUGGAACAAGAAUAUUCUUCUAUGGCAUCAAAAAAUCCUAAUGAUAUUCCAAUUUACAACAGGUAUUUUUGAAUAGAUGAAUAUUAUAUAGUGAGAAUUUGUUGUUUUGAAAAUGAAUUUAAAUUUAAAUUAAUAACAUAUAUAUUCUUAUAUAUAAGGGAACUUUCCGGUUAUAUUGUUCCCUGUUCAUGUCCACAUGGGAAGAUGAAAGACCACAUUUGCCAUUUAUAAAGGUAAAUAUCAAGACAAUAUAGAUCAUUUAAUUUUAUAUUAUAAUUACACAUCUAAUUUUGAUGCCAUUCGUUUACAAAAAUAAUGGUUGUGCAGGAUGGAUAUGAAAUCAGAAAACUAAUUUUGGGCCAACUAUUAACAUUCAAGGACAAUGAAUGUGAAGAUAACAUGCCUGCCGGUGUACUUGAAUUCAUCAGUUGUAUCAGGAAAUCCCAAUUUAAAUCUGGUAAAUAUAGUACAAUUUAGAAGCUUUCGUAAUAAAAAUUAUUUUUUCAAGAUUGAUUGUUUUUUCAUACUAACUUCUAUUUUCUCAAACAGGACGUGCAUGCUAUUUCUGAAGAUGGUCUCCGCUUGAAGGUGAUGGCCGAAAUCUGGGCUGAGACCAUCAUCUAUAUAAUGUGUCAUCACAAAGUAUCAAGGUGCACAUGGAACGACUAGCGCAAGGAGGGGAAUUCCUUGCUCACGACUGGCUCUUCUCAAUCACACAGACAACCUAAAACAUAGAUAGAAGCAAACCCCUUAAGAAACCGUGUAAUGAUAGUGUGCUUUUUGUACUCCCAUACUGUUGUAAGCUAGAAAGUGUUUUUAUGCUUGAUCACUAAUGUGCCUGACAGGUACCAAUCAAUUAAAAGUACUUCAUUGGUGACAUGUAACUAAUCUGGACAGAGCAUCAACCUUUGUUUUUUUCUUUGCUCACCAUUGCCAAGCCAGUUUACCGAGACAUUGCUCUUCUAUGCACCUGACCAGGGUUCGAUCCCCACUCUGUACAAUUUUUCCUUUUCAUUUUCUCACGCAGUGUCCUCCCUUAAUGAGCUGGGCCGGCCGUCUGCAGGGCUGGACUCUUCUAUUUUUUUUCAUUUCGUUUUUUCUUUCUUCUUUUCUCAUUUUGUUCUCAUCUUUCUACUCAGCAUUUUAGUUUUGCUUGUUGAUGAAAUAAACCCCAUUAUGUAUUGAACCUGAAGAAUUAGAGCAGACCCAAAGAAAGGGCAACACAGUAAAUCAAUUUAUGUUGCUUCCAUUUGACACACAGGUUUAAAUGGAAGACAAGUCAUCUGUUGCAAGACGAUACCUAUACUAACAUGCAAACUAAGUGAAUACUAAUAUGCGUUUUCAAAAUAAACCUUUGCAAGCACCGCACACAGCCUGUUUCCUAGCUCGCUUGUUGUUUGAUAGUUCAAUGCCUGGUUAGAUAAAUCAGGUAUAUAGAACAAUUACAUCCUAGAGCCAAGGCAACGUUUGUUUAGUUACCUUGCCCUGACUAGCUUCAAAGGAGGUGAACCCUCUUAGGAUUGAUGUCCAGUUGAAAAGCAGCAGUGCUGGGGCACCUCAGCCUAACCAGCAGGUAUUGAAUUCCCGGUCUAAGAUGGAAGAUCAACUAGCCCAGGUAAAAUCAGCUAUUGAUGAAGCGUUGAAGUUUGUACCAGAGCAAGUUCCUGCUGUCCUUGCUAAACUAUCGCAUGAGCUGCGCUCUAAAGCUGCAUCAUCGGCAUCACCGGUGCAUGAGUUGCUGGAUUGUAUUGCUAAACUGGUAACACCCAAGAGCGAUAUGCAACCUACCAGUGGUCUCUCUGAUAGUUCGUCUGGCUCCUCUAAUGGUAAUCUACAAACAGUGAGAGACAUAAAAAAUAAUCAUGCAUCUGAAUCUGCAACAGUUUCAGCUUCAAAUUCGCAACAUGCUAAAUCAUCUGGAGCAGUGUCCUGUGAUCUACUUCAACUUACAUCAGUAAUGCAUGUAGGGUUGCAAAUAAAGUAAAUAUUCAGACGUAGUGUCCGAGGGUACCCGAGGGCCAAAUUUGUGUCCUCCGGGCCGACGUUCAGGUUCAGCACACCAGUAAAUUUAGCACACACUGUUUCAGAAAUUCAGGUUUAGACAAUCACGCUAUUUCGGGACAGGUUCAGGGUUUAACCAAAAAAAAUUGACAAGAGUCCACCUGCAAUAUAAUUUCAGCAGUUAUUUACAACUUAACGUUCCCCAACUUAAUACUAUUGUGUUUUGCCAAGCAUCGUACCACACCUCAUCUCCUUGUUCCUUCCAUUCUCUCUAUCUCUAUGUAGUGGGCAUUUUAUCAAGCAGUUGGCAUGCUCGCCUGCAAGUGCCAUCUAUGCACCAUCCACACACGGAACCAGUGCAAGCGCUACUGCUAGAGUAUCCAUGGGAGCCAUACGAGCAAGCAUCCAUGUGAUGUAUGACCUACAUACAGGCACGUACGUAGUAAGUAGUUCCGCAUGUAAGUAAC
rnacentral:lncRNA from 1 species